GUGUCCGUCCUCGUGCUUCUUCUUCUUCUCCUUCUUUUUCUUCUUCUCUUCACCGUGGGCGGCGCCCUCGCCGCCGCCGACACCGGGGAUCUUCUGCUUGAUCUUGUCCACCAAGCCCUCCUUGUGUUCGCCCUCCUUGUGUUCCCCGCCGUGAUGCUGCUGCUGAUGGUGAACAUCAGUAGUGCCGACACCGGGGAUCUGCUGCUUGAUCUUGUCCACCAAGCCCUCCUUGUGUUCGCCGCCGUGAUACUGCUGCUGAUGGUGGACAUCAGUAGUGUGGUGGUCCCCACUAUGGUGCUCUCCCUUGUGCUUGUCCUCCUCCUUUUGCCCUCCUCCCAUGUGAAGGGCUUCUCCGAUCUUGUGAAUAACUCCUGACAUUUUCCCUUAAAAUGACUCUGUUCCUCUUCUUUUCUUUUCAAUGAAAAAUAGUUGUUUGCGAUCUUCUUCUGGUUGUUGUUGUUCUUGUUGGGUGAUCUUGGCUUGGUAUUUAUAGGCUCCAAAAGGAGGGACUAGAAUUAGGAUUAGAUUAUAGAUUAUUUUAAUACAUUUUAUGGCAAAUUCUGAUUUGGAAAGAUAAGAUUAUCCUUUUGGUUUUCCUUAUUUACCCUUUUGCACCCAUUACGUGUACGCGUCUUCGUGGGCUUUUUGGGUAUUUCAAUUAUAUCGCCAAUGCUAAAUCGACACGUUGCAUAUCAGCCGCGGUACUGCCGUAUGUAGUUGUCCAGAAAUCGAGUCGAUUCUCGAUCGUACAAUAAUUAAAUAAUAUUUCAUACGAAAUGAGUUUAGAUAUAUUUUGAAAAUUUAUUUUUAAUUUAAUUAUACGUGUUAUAUAUUUGUUAAUCGAAUAGAGGUCCCACGUAACAGAGUGUUUCUCUAAUCUUUCAUUGCUUUUAAUUAAUUUUACCCAAAUAAAAAAAAAAAGGAAAAUUUAGAGAGAGAGAGAGAGAUAGCGAAUUAGAAGUUGAUUGUAAUAUCGACACCUGUCAGACAAUCAAAUAUCGUUAGUUAAAAAUCAGUUGUCCAUAGUCAUGGUCAUAGAUGGCGAAAUUGAUACUUAUUUUAAAAAACAAAACAAAACAAAACGAAACGAAACUAAACUAACAGAUGUUGAAAUGCAGUUCCGUGUUAACAGUCUGUGAUGAAUCUUUAUCUUUGAGUAUACCAUUCAAGAAAUUAUCAUUCAAAAAUUUAUUUAAAGCAGCAGCAAAUCACCUUCUAAUUCCUGAAUCAAAUUAAUUCGAUUUUUUUCGAGUCGAUCAAUUCAUUAGAGAAUUAACGGGCUAAGUUAAAGUUUUGUUAGUUAUUUUUUUUUAUAUUCCUUUAGAUGAUAUGAUUGUCAUUGUCUUUCUUUCUCUGGGCAACAAUAAAUACAAGAUGUGCAAAAGCGUAGUGGAACAUAAUUCGAUUAUGGGUAAAGGGAUCAGUCCGCAUAAUGAGGAUAAAGUUUUUCUCUUUAAAAAAAUUUAACCCAAAGAAAAGGUCGUAGUUUGUAAUAGCCGACACGCAGAUAGAUCACAAAGCAUGGCGGUCCUGAUGGCAAUAACUAACUGAUAUCUUCUGCGAUGAGAGGAGAUCACGUGGUUCUGACACGUAUCGCCCCAUCAACUGAUGUUGUGGCUGCAAUCGCGGCCCAGUCUUUAGAGAGAAGAAAGAUCUGUUAUAACGGGACCUACUUUAGCAUCUAUUUACGACAAAGCCCCUAUUUACUCUACUUAGUAGUAAUAAUAGCAAGUGUCGGGCUUGGAUUCCGUGUUGCUUUAAAUAAAUAUCCGCGUAAAAAGAAAAUGCUUCUUUAAUCCCUUCCUUGUAAUUUUUCGACACGUGGAUGGUUGAAAUUAGCGUGCCGACAUCUUAGGAAUUUUAUCUUGGAGACGGGAACACUGCAGUAGGCAAUGCCAUUUUCUUCGGAUGGUGUGUGGUGACAACGCCUUGGAUUUUGACGUGCAAAGAAUUUAAAUUGAAAAAGAAAAAAAGAAAUUACCAGAAUAAGCAUAGAAGAGAUAUUUUUCUUUUUGUCCUUUUUGGAAUGGAAAAAGAGAUCAAGAGAUUGUUCCAGUAAGUAUUACACAUGUCACAGGCUUAUUCAUGCCCCAUUAUGGCAACUUUUAUGCCUCGCGGUGCCCUCGGUUCCAGCAUAAUAGCUAAGACUUCAAUUUUUCUAACAUAUUUUUGUUACAAAUAUGAACGGAGUAAAUGUAUAACUUUAAUCCUUUGAAUAAAGAAAUGGCGGUUCUCCUGCUCGUUAAUCUCACUUGAAUCCCACCCAGGCAAAAUUUCUUUAUUUUAUUUAACAACAAUUUAAAGAAAGAAACUUUUGCCAGGUUGAAUUUCAAGUGAGAUUCAUUCGUGGGAGAAGUGCCAUUUCUUUAUUCAAAAGAUUAUGGUAAUUACAACUUUCAAUUUCGACAUAAAUUAAAAUUAUAGGCUAUACAAUAAAAUUGCCCUAAAUUAGUCCUAAUCAAUUCAGAUUAUAAAUUUAGGUAUAUUUAUUAUUUUAAUAUAUUAAUGUUCUAUAUAUAUAUAUAUAUAUAUAUAUAUAUGUGUGUGUGUGUGUGUAUNNNNNNNNNNNNNNNNNNNNNNNNNNNNNNNNNNNNNNNNNNNNNNNNNNNNNNNNNNNNNNNNNNNNNNNNNNNNNNNNNNNNNNNNNNNNNNNNNNNNNNNNNNNNACAGCAGAAAAUAUUUGCUAUGGAUAAGGAGACAUGGUCCCACGUCCCACCGUCCCAAUGCAUAUUUUGUAUGUUUCCAUCUUUUCUGAAAUUUUAAUAAAUAAAGUUUUUUGACCACUUGGCCAAAGAACCUUACCCUUACACAACUUUGUGGUUGGAGUCCUGUGAUACAUGUAAGAACUUAUUUUUUUUCUUAAUUAUAAUAUUUUAGAAUAUAAUUAAGUGAAGUAGGUUUUUUUUUUAAAUAUGAGUAAAAUAGAUAUUUUUUAAAUAUUAAAGAGAGUAAAAUUUGAAUAAUAAUAUAUUAAAAUUAAUACAAACUAAUUUUAAUAAUUAUUUAAUUAUAAAUAUCAAUUAUAACAUCAUAUAAUAUCAAUUAUAAUAUCGUACAUCUCAAUUAAUUCAAUAAUAAUAAUAAUAAAUGUUUUUUGGGAUAAGUAAACAGUCGCAUGGCGACAAUAGUGGAUCUGGAUUAGAGUGAAGUGGUCCCAAGAGGCUGAGGCUGUGGCUGUGGAGUUCUAAAAGUCAAAAGCUCCACGCACUUUGUUUCAGUACCAUACACACUGAAAAAAUUUGCAUUUGCAAUGACGAAAACUUUUCACGAAAUCAAAACACCUCUAAACUAUUUUGUUAUCGAUAUUUAAUGGAGGGGUUUCCUACCUUUUUAACACUCGAUUCACGCCUUGACGCAUCUCACAGAAAACCUCAUGAUCCCAUUAAUCUUGCGUAACAUAUCUCAAAGCCAAUGCAAGUGAUCUUGUUGCCUACUUCCCUUUGACGAUUCAAAAUUGUUGAAAAUAAUUCUUUUUUUUUUUAACCUCAAGGAAGUGACAAAAUAUAAAAGAAUAUUUUCUACACAUUAAACAUCUAGAUUUUUUUUUCUUUUCUUUUUAGAGUACUUGCACAAACCGUUUCCAAGAGAGACCUUUUUUUUUUUUUUUUUUUUCCGGGCUUGGUUACUAAUUUGGUGUGAAUACUCUAUGGUGAAAAAGGAAUCACAAAGCUGUAAUCAAUUUUUUUGCAUCAUUUAGUUGUAACUUGAACAUUGGGAGGUUUAUAAAGAAUUAAAUUAAUUAUAAUGCCUCUACUAGGAAAAGUUCAGAGUAGCCCUUCACAACUUUUUAAAGGCUUAAUAAUUUUCGCUUUCUUCCUCUCAUAACAUAACAAAAAAUUAAGAGCUUUACUCGUACACGUCCUAUGGCUAUAUAGUAUUGGGUUCUCUACUUCAAUCGGCUAUCUCAAACCGAAGGUUAUUUGGACACACCAGCAGUCACGUUUGGAAACUCUCAAAUGCUUGGAUUGUAAUUCUUGUGGAUGAGAUCAUCUAAAUCUUGGGCCCAAGCCGGACAAUGGGUGGACAAAGAACCCUAAAAUACAGUAAAGCUUCUAACACCCCACUAAAACUCUUAAGAAAUCCUACCUUUUAUUUUUAUAUCUCUUUCUUUUAGAAAUUAUAGAGAAGACAUAGCAUUUUAAUUAUUUUCCCUGCCAUUGAAAAUAAAUUCUGUAAACAUAUUUUUUCAUAAUAAAAUUAUUGUUAUUAGAUAAUUUAUUUCUUCAUUGUUUCAAAAUUAUUAUAAUUUUAUCAACAAAAUUAGUUAUGUCAUAUAUUAGGAUUAAAAUUAAUUAGGAUCCAUAACUUGUAAAGACAUUUUAGUUUAAUUGAAUUCAUAUUUGUCAUUUUAUGUAAUUUUCAAUAAAAAUACGACUAUGAGUGCAAAAGUGGGAUGACAUAAUAUUAAAAGAGUGUGAAAUAAUCGGUAAUUGAAAUGGAUUGAAAUCAUAAUAGAGUAUGAAAAUCAGAAUAAAUUGUUUACUUUAGUUGUAGAAAUCAAAAUUAAAAUAAACCAUAUUAUCAUUGAUGUAUAUAUGUUUUCUUGUAAUCGAAAUGAAUUCUUAUAAGUUACUAUAAGACCCUUAUGGUGUGUUUACUAAUCAGAAAUCAGAAUGGAGUGGAAUUUGAAUAUAGAAUGGUAGGGGUAUUCGCGGAUCGGAUUUUACGGAUUGGACAUUAAUUCAUAUCCGAUCCAUAAUUUUACGGAUUAUAAAUUCUCAACACAAUCCAAAUCCAAUCUAUAUGUUUGCAGAUCGGAUGCGGAUUUGACUCAAUUCAUAUCCAAUCCACUAUUUGACGGAUUGAUUUUGGAAUUAAAAAUUUUUAAUUUUGUCCAAUCUAUGAGGUAAUUAAAUUUAAAAAUCUAAUAUAAAAAUAAUUUAUUAAAUAAAAAAUUAACGUAAAAAUAAUUUUACUACCAAUUAAAUUCAAAAUUGAACAAGAUUUAAAUAAAUUAAUUAUUUAAAUAAAACUAGAAUAAUUUAUUUAAAAUUUUUAAAUAUAACAUAUCGAAAAAAAAUUCAUUUGUUUAGAUUAAUAUAUGAAAAUUAACUAAAAUUAUGAAUUUAAAUGUUGAAAUUUGAGAGCUUGGAUGUAACAGGAAGAAAUUAAGAAACUUGAAGAACUUGAAAAGAAAGUAACAAAUUAAGCUUAACUACCUCUAAUGGUGAAGUGAAACAGUGAUGGUUUGUGCGUGCAAUGGGGUACAAAUUUGGCAUUAUAUGCCAAAAUAUUUUGUUUGGCUUUAGAAUUUUUAAUGUUUAGGAAGCUAUAUUUGUUUAUUUAAUUACUCAAAUAUUUAAUUAUUUUUUAUUUUAUGUUAUUAUUGAAUAAGAUAUAAUAUUGUGUUAAUUUAGCUAUACUUUAAUUAAUUAAUUAAUUUAUUAGUAAGUAGCAUUGCUACAUUUAUAAGUUUUAUUUUUUAUUAAAUAAAUACUUUUUUUUUUCAGAUUCACGAAUUUUUACGGAUUUACAGAAAUAAAUCCAUAUCUAAUCCAUCGACUGUGGUUUUUUAAAUUUUCAUUCCAAUCCGAUCUACCAAUCCACAAAUUAUAUUUUUACGGAUCGGACGAAUUGAGCGGAUCAAAUUGGGUUCUGAACACCCCUAGAGAAUGAGAAUCAAAAUAAAUUAUUUACUUUAGUUGUGUGAAUCGGAAUUGGAAUAAAUUGUACUGUCAUUGAUGUGUUUACUUUAUCUUGGAAUCAGAAUGAAUAAUUUCAAAUUACUAAACUGACCUUAAUUUUUUAUUGUAAUAAUAAUAGUAGUAGUAGUAGUAAUAGUAGUAAUUUUCUAUUAUUAUUAUUAUUUUCUCUCUCUUUUGUUUUUAUUUUUUUAUUUUUCUCUUCUUCUUCUCUUCCUCUUUUUUUAUUUUUCUCUAAUUCAUCGAUACUUCUUCUUCUUCUUUUUUCUUUCGUUUUUAUUUUUAAUUUUUCCCUUCUUUAUCGUUCCUUCUUCUCCGUCCAUUCUCUAUCUUCAAACUCUUUUUACUUUUUCUCUUAUUCUUCAUUACUUCUUCUCCCUUUUUUUUUUUUUUCUCUUCUUUAUUAAUUCUUCUUCUUCUGCGUCUAUUCUUCAUCUUCAAAUUAUCAAGUGAAAAAUACCCACGGUGCCUUACAAGAAGAAUUGGUUUUGUUUGCUUCAAUUAUUUUUUGUAUUUUGUACUUUUGAUUGUUUCAAAAGAGGAUAAACUUGUAAUAAUGCAAUUUAAGUAGGGAUGUUUUAGACAAUUUUGGGUAUGAGAGUCUAAUUCCCAACCCCCCACUCCCUCGUAGCAGACUCCCAUUCUUCAUUCCUAACUUGGUGUUGGACCUACUAAAAUAAAUCCCAUUCCCCUUCUUAUUUCAAGAAGCAAACACGAUUUUGAUUUCAAUUCCCCAAUCCGAAAGUAAACGCACAAAAAUUGUACCCAUAUGAGAUUGCUUAUCCUCGAGUUUUUAGAUUGAAAAAAAAAAAGGAAAAAAGAAUGGCCCCAUUAGGAAGGGAUUUUAAGUGUUAGAUAAAGCCGGUGUUAACCAUUAGAAGGUCUCCGACCUUCAACUGUAAUAUAUUAAACCCAGAUAAAUUUACAUAUAAAUCACACAAACCAACAUGCCAAUCAAAUAAAUUACAUCAACUAACAACAAUUGACACAUUAAUUUUCAUAAUACAGAGGAUGCAGAAAAUUAAAAUGUUUUAUCUUUUCUCCUUAUUUGUGAAUUGGAAAAUGAAAAUGUUAAACAUACAGAAGAGUGAAACAGGAUGGAUAUAUAUACACACACACACACACACAGCUUUGGAGUUCAAUGUCAUCGUAUUGCUCCAAGAAGAUUGGCGCCAUCAAGCUUUGCACCUUCCAGAUGCUGUUUAAUCAUCACCAUAACACCUUCAGUAGACAUUAAUACAUAAUAGAAACACAAAAUUCACAUGAUCUGAAUGUCUGGUCUAUUUUACUUACCGUAUCUCGAAGAUUUACGUGCCGUAAAUAAGCUCUUUGAAGGUUGGCACCCUUUAAAUUGGCAUUACGUAGCUUUGCACCCUGCCGCAUAAAUGUUCGAAGUUUCAACAAAUUAAAGUCUCCUGAGAAAUACAUGUCACGAAAAAGUAGGGCUGAAACUUGCAUCUAAUGUACAAGAUUCAAUCAGGGGUGCUUGUCCCACAGUGAAAGUGUAUGGGGGAAAGUGCACUUUCACAAACCAAAGGGGCAAGAUGUGAUUAUCACACGAUUACAAAAGGACUGUAGUCAAGAGAGAGAACUGAACAUGCAGCUUGUAUUGAGGCCAUGAAAAUUGAUGAAAAGCAGUAACAAGCAACCAUUUUGAAAACACUUCAUAUGGUCGAAUCAAUAAAUCAAAGCUAAAAUGAUGUUGACGAUCGAUAGCUUUUAGGUGAUAAGAGUCUUGGCACUACAGUUAAAAUUAUUAUCUAGGAGUGCACACAUUAAUAAAAAAAAACACAACCAAUAAGCAUGCACUCUUAAUCAGCAUAUAAAUUAACAAGUUAGUUGCACCUUAUGUUGUUCCACAAACAGAUUGCUCGAACAAUUCACAAUCUUACCUUCAAAUUAGCUCCUUCCAAAUUAGCUCCCUCUAGGUUGGCAUUAGUAAGAUCAGCAGUCUGAAAAGUCAAGAGGACAAACAGAUUGCAAUUUGAUUAAAAUCUCAAAGUAGCAACAUUCUGCAUGAAAGAAGAGCAGCACAAUUGGCAACAUACAUUUUAGAUUAAGAGGAUGGGAUAAAAGCAAAAUUACAAGGACAUGAAGCAAAUGAGCCAUGUUUAGUAUGGCAAUUUUGACCCAAUAAUUGUGGCAGGUCUUGGAGAUAACAUAGGCAUACACAUAAGGCAGAAGCAAAUACUGUCGCAAACUCCUAGCUAACUACAAAUGUUCCAUAUAGAAAAAAACACCUGCAAAAGUAAGGGAAAAAGCAACAGAUAAAGAACUCAAGAUGCUAGACCUGUAAGUGUGCAGAUCGCAGGUCUGCUCCACAGAAGCUGCAGUCUAUCAAGCAAGCAUCUGCAAUGAUUUAAGAUAAAUUUGAAUCCAAAUGACAUUUUACCGCAAGUAGUUCCAGCCAUUUUGGGAACAAACAAGAAAUGCUAUUUUGUAUUCAUUGUAAUUCCUUAAGCUAAAUAACAAUCAUGUGCUAUCUUAACCAAGGUACAGUUGCAAAUUCUGAAAUUGUGAUGCCAUAGGUUGUUCUUAAUCUUUUUGAACUGAAUAUUGAAAAAAUAUUCCUUCAAUCAUAAAUGUUAAAUAAUUAAAAGAACUGUGAGGGGGGNNNNNNNNNNNNNNNNNNNNNNNNNNNNNNNNNNNNNNNNNNNNNNNNNNNNNNNNNNNNNNNNNNNNNNNNNNNNNNNNNNNNNNNNNNNNNNNNNNNNNNNNNNNNNNNNNNGGGGGGGGGGGGGGGGGAAUGAAUAAGCGGAUGCAUACAGAAAAUUAUGGAAAAUCUGUUAUGGAAAUAAUAUGAAAAUGGGUAUGCAUAACUACAUACUGAAUCUUGACUAAUUUCAAUUUAAUUCAGAUAAGAAAUUCCAGUAUGGGAAUUGCCUUGUAAAUUUGCACUCUGAAGAUUUGCACCAGCUAGUAAAGCUCCACGAAGGUUUGCCCCAGCAAAUUCACAUCUUCCCUAGGCAAGAUAAAACCCUUAAAAGGCAAUUUUGAAAAAUACAUAUAAUUGGGAGAAUAUCCAGUAUUGCUUUGACUCUCUUACUCACGCAAAGUUGCAUUGUGAAAAAUGGAACCCUCAGCAUCCACAUCCUGUAUCAAGAACAGACAGAUUCAGUAUGAUUAAUAUAACUGGUUGCUGGAAGACAGGACAAAAUCGCAUCUUGUCACUGUCAACUUGCAUGUUAAGAAUUAAACACGAAAACUGCAUGCUGUCCAAUUAUAAGAAACCUAUAAAAUUCAAAUCAACAUCAAUACUGGCUUAAGGAAGAUAUAAAAAUAAAAAUUAUACCAACCCGAAAUUUCGCAGAUUGAAGAUUUGCACGUGAGAAGAAAACAUUUCUAAGACACGCAUAGCUGAAGUCCACAAGUGAAAGAUCCUGGCCAUUUUAAUAAGAUAGCAUCAGAGGAAACAAUAUCUAAUGAAUAUAUAAUGUUCUUUCUUGCUUAUCUGAGAAUACUAAUGAGAUUAUCAAAAAAACUCUAAGCUACUGCUAAGAAGUCUUGUGUUACAUGAGUAUGAAUUGAGGAGGUAAAGAAGACCCUUCUCCAAUAAGUUACCAUAGAAGCCACAUAAAACCCUAAAGCAGUUACAAACUUACAAUGACCAGAAUAAACCACCCCAACUAUCUAUUGGCAAGUAAAAUCACUUCUCUGGAUUUCUGAAAACUAGCAAAACAAAUGCAUAAAUUGGCAAAUUCGAUGAUUUCCUCUGAAAACCAAAUUAUAGCAGACAUAAAACUUGGAAGUAUUCAUAGAAUAAAAAUCUUUCAAGCACCUCAAUUCAGUAAUUAUUACCAGCUUAGAAAGAUCAAGGCCAGAAAGAUUAAGUCCUCGAAAUCUGACUUUUUCAGACUGUAUACACUUGAUGAUAUCAAUGCGUGUUAGCUCAGUAUCUAACUCAUUAUCUUCCUUUCUCUUAUUUAUGACAGCAUGGAUUCUCUCAAUUAGUCCCUGAAAUGAAACACAUUAGAUGCAAACUAUUAUUUGAAAAAAGAAAUACAUUUUAUCCACUAACACACAUGGAUUUCAACAGCAAUCAUACAAUAAUUGAGGAAGGACGGUCAUAUCAGACUCAUCUGCCAAGAUUCAAUAAGCACAUCAAACUUGUUUACAUGUAAUUUCCACAUUCCACGUGAAUUUAUAAGGUCUGCCUAAGCAAACCAAAGAAGGCUACACUCAGUACUGUGUGUAUACUGCCUUACCUUUGCUGUUCCCCAGAUACCGUCCUGCAAUCCAGAUACUUAGCUGUGAAGUUUCAAGCCAGCGAAACCAUUUUAAAAGUACACAUGGACACAGAUACCAUUAUCUGAAUCAUCUUCGAUAACAAAUUAAAAUGCCCUAGCGUUCAAAAAACUUAGGAUCUCUUUAAGUGAAGUUCCUUUAAAAAAGUAGAAAAAAACUGAACAACAAUGUCAUGCUAAUAAAAGGUAAAAAAAAUAAAAUAAAAUAAAGCAUAAGGACAGAAGUUCACCAGGAGCAUGCCAGUAUAAACCAAAACGACCACAAAUCUCAACCAUAAAAUUUAAAGUAGUAAAGUAAAUAAUCAAGGGCAUGCAGUUGGCACAGGUGCUUCCAAAUAAAAUGAUGAUUCUUUUCAAACAGAAAAAAGAAAUGGAUGUUAAUAAACUAGAAGAAACCAUGUCUUACAAGUAAUUGAUAAUAUUCUGCUUCCCGUAGAAGCUCUAAAAACUCUGACUCUGUUAAUGUGGGGACAGCCCCAUCCCUUAACCAAUUCAGAAUAUGCCGAAAAUGUUUUCCGUCCCUAUCAACAAAGAUAUAGCCCUGCAAUAAUUCAAUAUGCUCAAAGAUAAGAAUCUGAAUAAUAUACCCAAGAGAAGUGCUUUUCCCUGGAAUAAUAAAAAGAAAAUAAGUCAAAACGUUUUUCUUAAUGGAAGAACACAAAGGAACAGCUCUAUGACUAACAUGAAAACCAUAAAUCAGAAUAAGAACCCAAAACUGGUCAUUUGGAGUUUCACCAGAUCAAAAAGAUCACAUGGAAAUAAAAUUGUGAAAAUGGGAUUAUUUAUGCCGAGGUCAUGGCUAAACUGCAAUCAUUACUCCAUUUUUGGUAGAAGGAGAAGAAGAAAGAAGAGUAGGUGAGUCAUCAUUCUUUCAGGUGAGUCAUCAUUCUUUCUCUGUGAUUAAUUGAUAUGAUGGAAGUGUUGUAGAUAUUAAUUUGAUAGUGAUUCCUCCCUUCAAAAGAAUUCAUUCCUUUUUUUAUUAUUUCACAAAGUUUAACUAAGACUGAGUUUUCUCAAUUUGAAGGCAUCGUGCACUCUACCCCUUUCUUUUCCUCACAUUGCUUCUUCCCAAUCCCAAAGGGAAGAAAUCAAGAAACAAUUACAAUUUUUAACUAUUCACCAGCAAAAACAAGGCAAAGAAAGAUGCUGAGUGUAAGCAAAAAUAAGAGAGUUAUACACCUCAGAGUCUUGGCACACAGUAUGGCGACCGCUGAACAUAGCUGCAAGCAUAGAUUCAGGCUCACGACGAGUCAGAGUAUCAAUUGUUGUAUAAAAUUUCUUUCCCCCUGGAUAUUAAUACAUAAAAUAUAAAUUUGUUCACUUAAAAGCAUGAAUUGUGCAAAUUUGUCAAUAAUGUCAUUCUUUCACAAACGUUCACCGAAAUGUAUAACAAUAAGUGCAUCAUAACAUAACUAAACGGCUUAAGAACUGCGCAGAUAUUACAUACAGUAGAGAAACAAGAAAUAGAAAAUGAGAUUUGCCCUUUUUAAACAGAAAGCAAUCAAAGAGUAAACUAAAGAGCUAAUAAUUCACAAAAUUCAGUUGAUUAAACUCAUUUACAAGUAAUUAGCAACAAAAUCCAAGCUAAAUAAAAAUAAUGAAAAUUAGGUUCUUAUAACAUCCGUCAAUUCUAUGAAAGUUUACCACGAUCAGCAACAAAUAGAUAAAUCGCAAUAAAGAAAAACCGACGACAUGUCGGUUGUGUAGUGCAUAAGUAAAGGAAUUUGCAGAUGAUGUAAAGAGAAUGAGGGAUAGUAACUGACCGAUGUUGAGACGAACCAUUGAAGACGAAUCGGAGUCCUUCGCCAUUGUCGAGUGUAAUGACUUGUCGUCUUACUUGCGCUCAUAGGUAUUUAUAUCAUAGCUGACACUGUUCGAAGGACAGCAAGGAUUUGGUGGGCACAAAUGCAUUUUGGAAAUUGGGCUUCGGCCCAAGAAAUCGAAAAUCAGAGGCUUUUUUUUAAAAAAAAUUUAAAAGGAUUAGAAUGUCUAUAAAUUAAUAGGGCUGAGACCAUCUUAAAUCUAUUAAGUAAAAGAGAUAUUAAAUAUUUUAUUAAUUAAUAAUUUAUUAAUUUACAGAAUUAUUUAUAAUUCAAUUAACAUACAUUUAAUAACUAAACAUUCAAUGUACAUAAUUUCUGAUUACAAUUCAAAGCACUAACAAUACUUCAUAAUUUCUUAUUACAAUUCAAGAAUUCAACCUCAUAGCUUUUAGAUGCAAUAAGAAAAAUAAGAAAUAAGAUUCAGUUAUAUUUAAAUUUUAAGAAAAAAACAAUAAAAUCAUAUUUUAUGUAAUUAAAAUAUCAUAGUCAACUACAUUUGUAAUUUCAACAAAUUAUUACUCUAUGAUUUAAAUGAGACCACAAAGUUAUAUAAGAUUUUAUCGAAAUUAUUAAUUUAAUCCAUUAGUCCAUGUCAAGACCUUGAAAAUUUAAUAAUUAUAUAAUAGAGAUUAUUAAUUUAUCGAGUAUUAAUUUAUAGAAGUUCUGAUUGUAUAUUAUUUUAUAUUAAUAAAGAAUAAAGUAGCAUUCUUUUUUAAUUCCGAAGUAAUAAAAUUAUGGCUAAAUUAAGAGAGUAGAUAUAUUUUAUAACUUGGUUUAAUAACAUCACGCGCCUCCCUUGUAGUUUUGCAGCUUUGAAGCUUUAUAAUGAAUCCUAUUAGCUUUGGCUGGAAAGUUAUAUUGUUAAAGAGAGUUUAUAUAUUAAACAAGGUGAUCUAAUAUUUCCAAAACUAAAUUUGGGAUCAAAAAUAGAAAACAUUUGCAUGUUUUUACCUUUUGGAAGAAUUACUUGAUAAGUGCUUCACAGAAAAAUGCUUGCUAUUAUAGAGCACCCUAAAAAAAAUCCUUAAUAAUUGAGGGAUCAUAAUAAAGUUCAAUUCUAAAUCUGUCAGAUAGAUCGAAAGUAACAAACCAUAUAUAUUUAAAUCUAUUUAGUAAUCCAGGGUUACAAGCCAAGCGUGCAAUAGCCAAUUCUGAAAAUCAAAGCUCAGCCUAUGCUCUCUGAGCACAAAUAAGAUCUGAUAUAUACAUAUCGAAUCCUCCAUUAUGUGGAGUGAAAUUUCCAUCGUGUACGGUGUACCUAACAAUGAGAAAGCAUGGCAGCAUAAAUUCAUCUUCCAUGUUAUUCUACUUAUUAGUACUGGUUCCCUCAUAACUUCUCCAAAUCGGGGAGGUCUGCAAUGUGUAAAGCACGUAAUCAGAUAAAAGAAAGAGAGCCAAAAAAAAAAAAAAAGGUAACAGCCAAAAGAUUAAAUUUCUUUGAGAAAUAGAAAAUGGGAGCUUUUGGCAUAGGCACAGAAUAGAAAGUAACAGAGUCAUUUACAGUUGUUCAGAAUAUGCAAGCUGAAAACAACUUUGAAUGCAAUGGACAAUUCCUCCAACAAACAAUCGAAUUGGAUUGUGGAAGAGACAAAAGCUUAAUGAGGUUAUGGUUUUGGCUAGGUGAACUCAAAAUUCUUUUAUAGACCAAGUAGGUAAAAACAAAUCCCAUAUAGAUGGAUGAACCUCAUACCAUGAACAGUUAAUCGCGAACACUUGCAGGCUUAUGCACACGACUAUGAAGAUACUAAGGGUUUCACCGAUGGUAAGUGAAAAAUAUAUGAUGUAUAAUUUAAAUGGAAGCACAUAGUUUCGGAUUGAAUUCAAGGUUAAAGUUCCACAGACAGACAGAAGAGAUGAAGCUUAAAAACUUACAGAGCAUUCCUUCAUCAUCACUGCUUUCAUCAUUUUGGCCAACAUGCUGAAAAAAGAAUAUGAUUCAAGUUAAAUGAUUGAGCAACAAUAAAAAACGUGCAAAAUUAAUGCUCUCUCCACAAAAAUUUCAGUCUAUAUUGGUAAGAAGAAACAGGAAGAAAAAAUUACCUCAGCAUCAUCGUCAUUGGAAGCCAAAUCAGCUGUAAAGACCACAAAAUGUUUGGUUAGAACCAGUGGAAGUCUUACUCUAAAAUUUUUAAUUUUUGAAUUUCGAAAGAUCUCGUAAUGACAAAGAUUUUCAUAUCCAGUGACCAAGUUUUGAAAAUUAGAAUACGGAAUGACAUCAACUAAAUUCACUAAUAUAAGCUAGAGGAAUCCCUAGUAGAUAUAGCGCACAUGCACACAUGAUAUGCAUCCGAAUACACAAUAAUAAAUUAUCUCAAAGUCAAUAAGAAGCCAAAAUUAGAGAUAAACUUUUAGCCACUAUAAGGAAGACUGAUAUUUGCAGUGUGAUUACAAUAAACAAACAGAAACUUCACUACCCAUAAGUAAAACAAAAUAAAUAAAGGAUAAUAACUAACCAAGAAAUGGAAAAGCUCACAUUCUCUGAACACGCACCCCAAAAAGAAAGAAAGAAAUAAAUGUUCUCAUUGGAUCUGAAGCACAAGCAAUCCACUGACAUCCUUCUAUAAUUAGGUAAUUUAAAGGGGUUAAGCUCACAUCUUUUACGGAAGUAAGAAGAGAAUUAACAACCUUCCAGAGGAUUUAGGGAAAUACCACGAGGCAAGAAAAAAGAAAUAUCCUUCUUCAAUCUAGAUAUCCUGAUACUGCUCACCAUCUACAACAGUCUGUGGCUUAAAAAGCAGGUCACUGAUCUCUCCCUCCCUCUGGCACCAUUUUCUCUCAUGUCUCAUUUUUCCCUUCCUGCCAACUCCCACUACAGUAUUGAAACCUAUUCUAUCAACUCUUCCCCCUCCAAUAACAAGACCAAAACCAAUUUUACUCGCCGGUUAGCUAGGUAGUAAAUGGAAAUUUGUGAAUCUGUCAUUCAUCCGUAGAAACAAACCAGAACUGCAUAAAUUCUCUUCUCUCCCAACAGCUUCUUUUCUCCAGAAAUAGGCACAAGUAUUUGACAUGGAAACAGUUUAUCUAACAUGGCCACCUUUAAAGACAAAGACAUACUAAGGACGUGGUUUUAGAUACGGAUACAAGAAACAAUCACAAAAUGUAAAAUCUAUACAUAUGAUAUUAAUUUCCAAUGGAUACAGCAAUUCAUUCUUUGACAUAACUUCAUCAGAUUACUAGGUUUGAUUAGGUUAUACACACAUUUAUUCAUUUAUUGAAUCUACAUGCACUUAGAAUGAGAGGUACCUAUAAAAACAAGUUACCAGAAAACAAUACAGCUAGAAAACAUUAAUCUAAGUAGUUCUAUAGGUUUAACUAACUGCAGGAAAAAACCAUUGAUUUUGUCCGCCAGAUUAUCGAGAUCCUAAUUCUGGUAAAAAGAAAAUGAGAUAAUAGAAAAUCAAAAAUUAAAUAGACACAAAAUGAGAAAUCAAGAUCAUAUGGCAACUAAUAUAUAGCAUGGGCUGCAGCUAACAAGCAAUAUAAGCCAUGAUAUUAUGCCAGAUACAAAUUUUGAGAUCCAAGAGAGAUCAAGAAGCAUGAAUACCACUAAAAUAUCGAAAGAAGUGAGUGCAGAAGGAUAAGAAAUCAGGUUGAUAUUCUUCAUACUUUGGAUCAACACGUAGUGAUGCAAUAAACUUGUAAUUAGCUUCAAAUGUAUAGGCUACCAUGUCAACAUUUCCGAAAACACACAAGAUUGUGCUGGAUUCAUACAUAGUACAUAUAUAAAAAAACAAUCUGCUUCUAAACUUCAUGAGAACAUCGAAUAAUGAACUUACAAUUUGAUCCCUCAUCAUCUUCAUCGCACCAUUUGUUCCAAUCAACCUUAAUGUAAGGUGCUGGUUUCUCUUCUGACUUGAGUAGCCUUUUCCACCAACCUUUCUCUUCUUUUUGGACCGAGCAUAUUAUGUUCCUUAAGCCAACUUUAGUCUUACAUUUCUGCACCACCAGCAACAAAACUCAAAGCAUUACAAAAGAGGUAUAUUUAGCCGCUCUUGACUCGAGUGAGAGAACAGGAUAAAUAGCCUAGGUAUAUCCACAUCCAUGUUAUGAGAUUGAUUAUGCAACAGCUAACUUUAAUAUAAAGCUUUUGCUUCAACAAAGACUAAAAUGUUUGUAAUUGUUAUGCUUUUGGAGCUAAAAUGUUUGGCAAACACCCACUUUUACUCUGCACCUAAUAUCUACCACCCACCCACACACUAAGUCUCUCGUUUGGUACAGCUAUUUAUCAGUAGUGGCUUUAAGCCACAACAUUUAAAGCGAAUUUACCCUAAAAUUUUACAAUGAAAAACCUAUACUACCUUUAACAUUGUUGUCAAAAUUAUUAUUAUAAGUAAUAUUUACCAAACACUAUCAACUUCCAAUUCAUAUCAAAGAGCUUUCACUCCACAAUAGCCGUGUCUUCUUAAGCCAGAACAACACAAUACCAAAGGCCUUAAGCUAGUGAUUUGAUUUCACAACAACUGCAGAUCAAGCCUCAAUCCCAAACAUACAUAAAUCAAAUGCAGAAAGCAAAAAUUUAACAAUAUGUUUGGUAUACUAAAUGUCUUUCAUAGUUUCAUUUCACAGGGUAUUUAGACAUGCAAUGAUAAAUUGGAGCAAUUUCAAGAACCGAAUUGACCUCAGGUAAAAUUUUGCCAAAAAGUUCCAAGCUGAAGUCGUAAAGCUCGCCUUGGACUCCGACGGCCGAGAAGCCAAAAAUCCCCUGAGGCUCGCAUUUCACAGAAAUGUCUUUCGCAUCGGGUAAUGAAAUGGUAAGGUAUACUUUAUCGGAGCGCUGAGCCCAAAGAACCUCCGGAUGGCGACUGAACAUAAAAGAAAUAAUAAUAAUAAUAAUAUUAUUAUUUUUUAUUGUGACAAUUUUGAACUAAUAAUUAGAGACAUUUAACAACAAUAUUGAUUAAUAUUGGAGAAGAAAAAUAAGGUUACAAGAGAGAAUCAGAAAGAUUACCUCAUUCUGGUGGAUGAUUGAAAACGGUGGGUCGAUUGAUGAACAGAAGUGUAACUGUCUGGGAGUGAGAGUGACUCUGCUGUUUACUGGGUAGAGUGUGCUUACUCGAAGAAAUUGAAAGUGAUAAUCUCGGGCAAGCCAACACGUCGAUUUGGUCAACAGUGGUCCAACAAACCAGGAACUAGGUUUUUUUUUUUAAAUGAUUUUUUUUUUCAGUAUUAUAUUGCCCCGCCCGUGGGCUAUUACAUUUUGGCCCUUUUGGGGACCCCUCGUUCUCUUACAAGAAGGGAAUAUUCUUUUCCAUCCACCGGUUUGUAGGCAGAGUACAUAUACUCUUCGAAAUUAAGGACAAAUUUCUGAAUCGUGCCGCAUUAGAAUUAAAUUGAGUCUCAAAAGAAUUUUGGUUAUAAGUAUAUCGUUCAAACGGUAAUAUAUUAAAAAAAAUAAUAUUUACUACAAUGUAGACCUAUCGGGACUUUGAAGCCCAGACCAAUUCUUGAGUCUAGCCUAAUAACACCUCAACAGAUCAAAAUUGAAAUCCAACUUAAAUUUCAAUAUUGUGUAGGGAUCUGCCUUAAUUUAGAUAUGUCAAGACCUGCCUUAGGCAUCAAAGUGAUCUAUCUUAACAUAACUAAGACUUUCUUUAAACAUCACAAUGAUUUAUCUUAACGUAGUCAAAUCUAGCCUAAAAAAAUCUAAAGAAGGAAAAAAGAAAUUAUUUUCACGUAUUGAGAGACUUAAAUUCUUAACCUUAUUCAUAAGAAAAAAAAGUGUAUUACUUAACUAAAUCGUGACUAAAAAUUAUAAUUAUUAUUUUUUGUACAUUUAGCUUUAAAAAAUCAUUAUAUAUAUAUAUUCAUAUAAGUUUUGACAUAAUAUACAUACCACUUAUUUGUUUUUUAAAUUAUACGAGAAUGAAAAAACUCAAGCAUUAAACACCAACUUUUGUUUCAUGCUAUCAAUCAACUUGAGAAAUUUUAUAAUAUAUCGGAAGUUCUACGUCACAAUUUAAUACGAAGCCUUCGAUUAAUAAUAAUUAGACACAUGACAAUAGAUGCUAGAGAAAUUUUAAAUUCCCUCUUUUCAUUAUCCCUCCAAAUUUAGAAUUUCAAAAAAUUAGAGAAUAAAUGUUGCUUGCUCUCUUUGUUAUCUAAUUCUAAUUAUUAUUUUUUUCUCUCUCUCUCCAAUCAAGUUGCUAGCAUUUUUUAAAUCUAUUGAAGAAUAAGAAGAAGGUUUUUGUCGAUGAAAUGAUUUUGGCAGCCUUUUUUACCCAAAGCUAACAUGAUUGCUGCGACUACCAAUGAAGAAAAAGAUGUGUUUUGCUGGCGAAGAAGAUGAUUUUUGAAGCAUGAGUGGCUGCCGUUUAUUUUUUUCCUUCAUAUUUUUCGAUGUAGUGGCUGUCCUCAAGUUUUAUUCAUUUACUUUUCAGUUGGCCUACUAUUUAUUGGCAUAAUGAAAAAUUUUAUUUUAAUAAGCAUUUAUAGAUUAAUUUGAGGAGGUUUCUUUUGCAAUAUUAGUGUGGUUUCUGCAUUGGUAUGAUUUAAAUUACGAACUUGCUACAAUCUUUAAUUAAACUGUCAAAAGUAAUUUAAAAAAUCUUUAAUUAAACCGUCAAAAGUAAUUUAAAAACUGACAGUAGAUAGAUUAGAGAUAGGCUUGACAAUUUAGCCCGACUCUAUUUUUAGUCUGAUUGAUCCGAUCCUAAUUUUUAAGACUUUGGCCUGAAUUUUUUGAUUUCGGGUCGGGUUCGGGUCAAAAUUUUAAGGCCCGAACAAAUUUAGGGUCAGGGUCGGACUUAAAACCAACCCGACCCGACCCUAUUUAAAAAAAAAAAAACUAACACACGCACACAACACAUGACAGUUCACUCUCUCUAAAUCGUAAAUCACACACACAAAAUACACUUACACAAAUUCACAAAAACCCUAAGCCAGCCACCCAGCCUGCUGCCGUCCUAUCAGCCAACAUCGUGACCGUCCGCCGCACGCCAGCCAAUCAGCCGUCGUCUCGUCGUCGCAUGUCUCACCAAUCAGCCAUCGUGACCGUCUGCGACGCUGCGACAUGAACUUGAACCAGCCGCCCUUUGUCGCCGUCCUGCCGCAUCCGCCUGCCAGCCAACGAUCAAUGCACACAGUUGAAUUGUGGGGUGGGAAAUGGUUUCGAUAGGGUCGGGCUCGACCCGACCCUAACUAUAAAGAGGUAGGGCUUUUUUAGGGUCGGGUUUUAAUUUUUUGUUGAUCGGGUCGGGUCGGGUUUGGCCAAACCCGAGCCCGACCCGACGUUUUGCCAUCCCUAAUUAGAGAUGAAGAUUGGAGAGAGAGAAAAAUAUAAUUUGAAUGAGAUAAUAAAGAGAGAAGAAAUUCUAUAAUACAUCAUAAGUAAUAUAACUCAUUGAUGUAUGCAUGAUAUAUGUAAUUAACCUUAAUAUAACUAACACUUGUAUGGUGAUAUUUCAAAAUAAAUAUACAUAUGUUAUAAAAUCAUUUACUUAUUGUAUGACUGACAUUUUAUUUUUGAUGUAUUGUACAAUUUCUCAGAAGAGAGUAGUAUUUAUUAUCUCUAAUUUUUUGAAAUUCUAAAUUUUGGAAGGAUAAUAGAAAGAGAAAUUUUAAAAAUUUUUCAACGUAUAAUGCCAUGUAUCUAAUUAUUAUUAGUCGGUGUUCCACGUUAAAACGUAAUAUAGAACCUCUGGACCUUACUGUAUAAUGUACUGUAGAAUUUCCUGAUCACACACUUUCUCAGUUGCAAAAGAGGUGGGCAUAUGAGUUCCUUACGGGGAUUUAGUGUGAAUCCACGCAAAGCCCAUAUAGAUUUUUCCGGUUAACCGCUAUGGCAUCCUAGUUUUAAACUCAGUACUAAAUUUACAGAUCCAUUUAAACCCCCCAAAUCAGUCUCUCACCGUCUCAAGUCUCAAACAAAAAACCUGACCGGAACCCAAACCGCCAAAUCCGAUUCGAUGGUGGACUGUGCUAAAACCCCUAAAAUUCCAAGACUGACAUGCGGUAAAGGAGAUGGUGAUAGACUUAGCAAUCUUCCGGAGCACAUCAUUUAUCACAUAUUCUCGUUCAUGGAAACAGUUGAUGUUGUUAGAGCAAGCACUGUUUCGCGAAGAUGGAGGUACUUGUGGCUUUCCGUUCCUUAUUUGAACUUCGACUAUCACACAAUUUGGUCAGACCCGGAAAGUAGAUGGUCUCGUAGGAAAAUCAAUGAUAAGUUCAAAGAUUUUGUCAACUGGGUAAUAUUUUCUCAAAAUGGGUCUGUUAAUAUUCAAAGAUUUCGUCUUUGCUGCUGGGAUUAUUUAGCAAGUUACGAUAACGAUAGAACGAUUUACAGAUGGGUUUCUGCUAUGGCACGUCGAAACGUGCAAGUGCUUGAUCUGGCUAUAGCUUCACUAUACCCAUUUGAGUUUGACUUGCCACAUAGUCUUGUAACUUGUGAUUCAUUGGUGGAACUGAAGUUGAGUUUGAGCUUUCAUGUUCACCGAUGUUUUUUAAAGCUGCCUACUGCUGCUGGUUUUAUUGGGCUCAAGUCUCUUGAUUUACAAAGUGUUGCGUUGGAUGAUAAUUUGUUUCCUGAAUUUAUUUCAAAUCUUCCCCUGCUUGAGAAUUUGUGUAUGUUGUCAUGUGUUUUUCCUGAAUUGAAGGUUCUUGACAUUUCUUCCACUAAUUUGAAGAAUUUGGCUCUGGAAUCCAUUGUUGGCAAUGAUAAUGCUGGCAAUGAUGAUGCUGGCAAUGAUGAUGCUGGCAACUACAAGCUUAAGAUUGCUUGUCCAAAUCUUGUGUCUUUUAAUUAUAUAGCUUUAGCUCCAUGGUUACCUCACUUUGCUUUUGAGAGCUUAAACUCCUUGCAAAAUGCAUUCAUUGACCUGGAUGAUUAUAACGAGGAUGACAUGGAGAACGAAAGAUGUCAUGUUUUAUCUACAAUCUUCAAUGACUUUCGUGAAGUUAAAGUUUUGAAAUUAUCAGAAGCCAUUCUUCUCGAGGUAUGAUUUCAAAUACAUUCAUUGCACCAAAUCAUGAUUCUGCCAGAACUUGUCUACACUUUUUUAUUUUGACAUUAGAAAUGAAGCUUAAGUAAACUGAAUCUACUUUCUUUGUUUGGUAAAAUAAGAAUUCUAUUGAUUAUGGAACCUUCCUAAAUGCUAAUUUGUUCUUUAGACUGUGUAUAAGUCAUUGUGACAUUGUAUGAAGUCUCAUUUAUCUGAGUAAUCAAUUGUUAUUGAUGUCAAAGACUAGAACUCAUUGGUGACUUGAGUUUAUGUAUAUUAUCGUUUGUUAGAUUUUUUGUGUGAUUAUUGCACUUAACUUGACUAAUGUAUUCUCUUUCUUUUUGCCAUUGUUCCUCCAGGUUCUUGAUCCUGAUCCUGCUCACGAAGAACCAGCAUUUUUUUCCACUUCAUUCAAUAAUUUGAAGUCCUUAAUACUUUCUGCAGGUCCGGGUGUAUGUCUCAUGCCAUCAAUGCUUAGGUUGCUCAACUGCUCUCCAAAUCUAGAAGCUCUUGCAAUAUAUUCUCCUAAGGUAAUCUUAACACCAAAAACUAUUCCAUUUGUUAGAUACCGUCGCUUCUAUCCAUUUUUUUUAAAAAUCAUAUCUCCCAUUUAUGUGCUAAAAUUUUAAUUUUGUUAAAGUGCAACUGGGCUUUGCUUAAAUUAUCGCAAUAGAGUUGAAACCUGAAAGUAUUUGUGAUAUAUUAUGUUUACCGCUUAGAGCUUAAAGUAAAUGUUAAUCUUGUGGCCUCUUGGUUGUUCCCAUGCUAUUGCUUGUUGAGCAGAUGGUUGAAUUUAGAGUCAAUCAAUCGGUUGUGUUCUUCUGAGGUUUGUGCAAGUUUUGUAAAAGAGCAAAGUUUAGUAUUUGUUUAGUUUGUGAAAAUGAUAUAGCUUUUUCUAAUUCAUCUUACUCUAUUCUUUGCUUAAAAAUGAAUUCUCCUUUUGAUUUGAUUCCUUGACUGCAUUUCGGUCUGUUUUCUCUUGGCAGCAUCGGCGUGGAUAUAAUGCUUAUAGGAAAACACCGAACAAGGCUGCUAUUUCAUGUUUGACAAAUCAUCUCAAGACAGUUGAAAUAAAACAUUUUAGCGGUGAUAUGAAUCAACUUGAAAUUGUGAGGUUUCUUCUAAGGAAUGGACAUGUAUUGCAGAGAAUGAGUAUUAGAUGGGUGGCAGAUGUUAAGAAUCAAGGGAAGAUUAUCUCAAGGAUAAUGAAGUUUCGGAGAUCAUCUUCAAGUGUUGUGCUGAAAUUCCUAGAUCCUAAGCCAGCUGAUGAUUUUUCAGAUUAUUUAUUUGAUGAUGAGCAAAAGAACUAAAAUUAUGUUUAAAUUAAAAAAAAAAAAAGUGGUUUAAGUGUAUGUUCGAAUUAAAUAGUCUUUUGGAUUUGUAGAAACUGAAAGGAGUACAGUGCCAGUCACUGUGGCAGCCUUAUGUUUUGUUUGAAAAAAUUCGGAAGCUUCUAAAUUGUUAUAUACCUCAAUUCUGAAGUCGUUAGUAUGUAUAUUAUAAGCAAUACAUAUGUUCCAUUUGUCAUAUUUUAUUUUGGCAUUACGAUUGUUUUGUCUUGAUUAAUAUUGAUUAUAAUUUGUUUAACAUUUAUCUGGCAUAUGUAGAAUUAUACUUUAUCUGAGUAGAUGACGCUGCUGCGUACAUCUUCAGGACUCGGUCAUAAACUGUUUAUCUCUGCGUCUGUCUAGCAUCCAUCCACGUAUGACCUGUCGGCUUUUUGCCCGCAAGCAUACAGUUAGGGGUGGUAAAAAUAUCUGUCCGGUCUGGAUUCGGUUCGCACCCGGAUGUUUUAUCCGGCCCGGUCUUGGGCAUCAUUUGAUAAAUUCGGAACCCGAGUUUUAUUAAGCGCCUUGGCCGUACAGCAGUAUAUUAUUUUAAAUAUUUAUAUUUAUUUGACUCAUUUAUUACAUAUAUAUAAAGUUUUAGACACUUAAAGUUUAUAUUUUCAUGUCAAAUUUCAUUAAAAUAAAUUUAAAACUUAUAAAAUUACCAAAAAAUAAAAAAUAUAUACAUAUAUAAUAUUAAAAAAUAUAAAAUCUGGGUACCCAAAUUAAAACCCGGCACAAUCCGACCCAGGCAUCUAUGCAUCCGGGUCGGGUCCGGUCAUUACGAUACCCCGACCCAGCCCAGGGUUUUGCCAUCCCUACAUGCAGUGUAUAUGAAUUGCAGUUCUUGUACGGACAACAUGUCAUCCAUAAAACUCGAGUUAUGUUCUUUUUAAUCUUUAGUUUAGAUUACAUUUUGCAAAACUAAUAAACGAUAGAGCUCCUAGCAAGGUCAAUAGUUAACUGCGAAUCCAGAAGAUCGGAAUGCUAUACCUUUCAAACAUGCAUUUCAAAGCCAUCUGCGGAAAUGGAAAACAAGCAUUUCAAACUCGUUGUUAAAACAAUGAUAAAAGUAAUUUUAAUCCUAAUUUUUAAUUCCAGGCAUGAAGCUAACUCAUAUACAAAGAGAUAUCAAGUAAGCAGAGGCGAAAGCUAAAAGCUUUGGUUACAGGGGUCGGUGUGAAUAAUGUAUAUAUCGUUUAGACAUAUUUUUGAAUAUCUAUUUUAAUUUAGGGGAUAUUAUAUAUAUUUAAAAAAAAUUAAAAUUUUUACGGGAGCCAUGGCUUACUAUAGUCUCCAUUAAGAUUCACCCUCCCUACUUUUCGUACUUCAUUAAAGUAUAGGAUAAAUAUUUACAAUAUUAUAAAUAGAUUUUAUAAAAGCAGUCCAUAUAUGAAAGUCCUUCUGCACUCUGAAUUAAAUAAAAAUAACGUGAGACUAACAAUUUAAGAGUCUUUUUUGCAACGUAUAUCGUGCAGUGAUGUACUCUAUCGACGGAGGACUCUCUUCAUAUGCUUUUUAUUUUUCCAUGCCUGAUUAUAAAUAGGAUCACUCUAUGUUACAUUAAACGUAACGUACACACACUCACAACAACAGUAACAAGUCCCAUCAUUAGAACUGUUGCUGUGAGUGCGUGUAUGUUACGUUUAACGUAACAUAUCACUAGCCUUAUAAAUAACAUCACUUUUAAGGAUUUUUACAAAUUUUUAUUACAACCGUAACUUUUGUCCUCAUACAAUAACGGUGUCCAUUGUCCACAUAUAAAAAGUUCAUCAAUAAACAUAUAACCUAAUUAAAAUUCGUGACAAAAUCCAAAGGAAAGAAAGCGUGGAGUAAUAUAUAUAACAAAGGCAUUGAGCAUACACCAGGUGUAAUUUGCAUUGCAUGGCCACCCUUACGUGGCAGUUCCGCCGAUUAACACAUCUUUAAAAGUUAAAGCCCCCCUCUCUCCUUGUUAAGGGCGUUUCAACACAACACUCAUCAAUGCAAGCAAAGAGACAGUGAAGGAAAAAUUAAGAAACCAAUAUUGUCACUUGGAAGAAAGAAACAAUCAUUACAUAUAUAAUACGAUGGAUACUAAGAACAACAGGAAGCAUUUGUCCUGCAUUGCCAACGACGUCGUUCACAGAUGUGCACUGUACGUAUCUCUCUCUCUCUCUCUCUCUCCUUUUCUUUUUCUCCCCGAUCACUUUGUUUUCUUUAUAUAUACGAAUGUAUGUAGAACGUAGUAGGUUUUGUAUAAAUAUCUGUUGCACACAUUAUUUGAUGUGCAUUUAAAUAUAAUUAAUGGUAAUUGAGAUGACACACAAAGACAAUGCAAAAAAAGAAAAAAAAAGAGAGAGUAAAUUAAUGAAUUUGCCUUGAUCCAGUUAAUUUGUGUGCAUUUAGCUGACUGUAAGGUGGUUUCGAGUGUGUUUUUGUUUGGCAACUUUUCACACAAAAGCACUUUUGGGAAGCACUUUAUGUAAUGUAAGUGCCUCUAAAAACUGUUUUAUGUAUUACUGCCAAAUGCAGUGCAGAGGUUACAAUGGGAGGGUCGGUUUUAUACCUGUUCUUCGAGACUUAAUUUCAAUAGGAGAUUGAAAUAUUUAUGAGAAUUAUGUUGUUAGCAGACUUAAUUCUUUUGGAGGAAUUCAUUCCAUCGUAGACCACUCAAUGAAUUUGGUCGAUUGAGAUUAUUUGAGUGCAUGCUUCAAAACUGGAGCAUUAAUUCUUUGACAUAAAUGGGCUUUAACAUAAGGCGCGUUCGCUUAUUCCAUUUAUUCAAGAAGUUGGCACUCAAUUUUUUAUUACUAGCCUUUAGAUGGCCAGCAGCCUUUUGUAGCCCUUUCUAGUUUCUACUAAAGUGGUUAUGUGCAAUAGUUCUAUUCUGGGUUGCAAAAUUAUUGUGUCAGUAGAAUCCACAUACAUUAUGUACUUUUCUGUAUUUAAUUUCAAGAGGCUUAGUUAUAUCAUAGUUUUAGGAUUAUAAUAAGUCUGUCCGUUACCAUGUUAUUGGAAUUUUUUUUUUUUUCUAAAUUAGUUGGACACAUUAUUGGAUUGGUCAAUAAAGGAAAGCAUUUGGCAAGUACUUGGUUUGAUAUUAACAUAUAGUUGCAGUAAAGCACAUUAACUUGUGCAUCCUGAAAUUCUUGCAGGCAAGUAAAGGCUUCUGAGGAUUCAUUGGUGGAGGGGUUUGAAGCUGAAUGGAAGCCUGAAAUCGGACAGUAUUCGAAGAAAUUUGUGGAAUAUUGCAGCAUAAAGGCUCUUACUAACAUGUGCCAGAGCAUAGAAGAAAAGAUUAGUGAUGGAUCAUUUAGUCGACUCACAUUUGAUAUGAUGCUUGCCUGGGAAAUGCCUAGUGCCGCCGAUGAGGAGUCUCAUACUGUAAGCAAUCAUCAUAAUACUCAUAUCCUAUAUUUAUUUCAUGGUCCACCAAAUCAUUAUGAUAUUAUCCCAAUUUUGGUGUGCCUAUCUUCUCUUCAAGUUGCUUCUUCUAUUUCUUUUUCAUUAUACAUUCUCUGGUUCUCAUCAGUUUUCGCUCCAAUUAAAAGAAGCAUGAAUUCUUUCACUUAUCUGCUGAAUCUGUUCUAAUGAUUGGGCAAUAGAUUUUUAUUCCUCUCUGUGGUUACUACUAUUUUGAUCUUGUGCAGGAGUGCAUGGGAAAGGAGAAUGAGGAUAGAAAGGCUGUAAAAGUCACUUCAGAUCAUGAUGAAAUUCCUCUCUUCUAUACAGACAUCAUGCCUCUUCUAGUAAGAGCGUCUCUUUCUGAUCAUUUGAGUGCUAAUGUACCGACCAAGCAUUAGCCUUCACUGAAACUCGUAUAUGAUUUCAUGAACAUUGAUUAAUUGUUAUUUUUGCUAACUACUCUAUGAGAUCUGAUCAAAUUAGAUAUAUAAAUGUUGCGAUUGAUCUUGGAUUUGCUUUAUAUUUGGCCAUCAAUUAUAUUUUACUCUUCAUUUUUAUAUUUGUUUGGUUUGAUAAUUUACCCUCUGGCCCAUAUAUAUGAUGGUAGGUUAAUAAUGAACCGAGUGUUGGAGAAGAUGCAUUUGUAUGGAUGGGAUCCUUAGUUCCUCUAGUUUCAGAUGUUAUUAAUGGGAGAUUUACAUAUGAAAUUCUGACAGCGCCAACAGGAAACCGGCUCCAUUCUCCAGCAUAUGAUAUAUUUCUAAAGGAGAUGGACAAGUAAUUCUUCCAAUUCUUCCAUGCAGCAAUUUUACCACUCAGAAACUUUAAGUGCCGUUUGGUUUUGUGACAUGCAAAUUAUCAUGGAACACUCAAAAUGAGUUGUUCUUAACAAUUUCUAGAAUUUGCAAACUCACUAACCAUAUCUGAAAAUGCAGAAGCAUUAUUACCACUUAUUGAUAACAAUAUCUCUGCUCGACUUGUUUGGGUGCUUUCAGCCGUUUUUCAUUUUCUUUUGGAAAUCUUGAUUUCAUAGAUGCAUAAAACAUUUGCAAAAACAAGCAACUCCAAAGGGUGUUGAGCUGGCUGACGAUGAAUUUAUACUGCAUGUGGAGGGAACUGCAAGCACACAGAGAGUAGUGCGCCAUAUUGGGAAAACAAGUUGGCCUGGUAUGUCUUUAGUUUGAUGUCUUACAUCUUUUUAACUGCUGUAGAAAUUGUUACUUGGAUUUUACUAAUCAUAAUUGUUGUCUCUAGGUAGGCUCACACUGACAAAUUAUGCGCUCUACUUCGAGGCUUCGGGAGUAAUAACAUAUGAAGAUGCUCUAAAGAUUGACCUCUCAAAAGAUGCUGAACUAUCUGUUAAACCAACUGCCACAGGUCCAUGGGGUGCUCCGCUUUUUGACAAGGCAAUUGUAGUCGAGUCCCCUGAACAGUAAGCAUAGUUGCACUUAUAUGAAAUUACUGGAGCUAUUAGCAUCGUUAUUCUUAUUUUAAAAAUUGUUAAAUGCUUGGUAGUUAUCCCAUAAGCUAGAUUUUAAAUGCAUAACAUACAAGGCAGACAUCAGAAAGCAUUCUGAUUCGUUUAUUAAAGUUUGUCUUUUAUUAAGCUAAAGAUAUUAAUGCUGCUAGAUUUUUCUAAUUUGGUUGUAGAUAUUGGUUAGUUACACUGUCAAAUGAGCAAAUCUCGUGGAUAUUUCAUAGUGUGGUUAUGCAAUUGUUUUUUGCCCUUCACUUUUCUAGAUCUGAGGGAAUUGUCCUGGAGUUUCCAGAGAUAACUAGCUCGACAAGGCGUGAUCAUUGGCUGGCCCUCACAAAGGAGAUAAUGUUAAUGCACAAAUUCCUGUCAAAAUUCAAGGUGGAAUGUCCAAUACAAGCAUGGGAGAUGAAUGCAAGGACAAUACUUUGCAUCAUAAGACUCCAUGCAGCAAGAGAAAUGCUGAGGAUAUUGCCUCCAGAUCCCACAAAAUUCUUGAUUUUUGCUUUGUAUGAUGAGUUGCCAAAGGGAGACUACGUGCUAGAAGAGCUUGCUGAGAGUCUGAAGAAAGUUAAUUGUGGACAUCCUUCCAGUGCUAGCUCAAUUCUGAGAUGUAUGAACCUGUCAAUUGCCGCAAGUGGAGAAGUAAAAGAAGGAAAAGAACUGGAGGAACAUAAACAUAUAAGUGAUGAAAGCUGUUCAUCACUGGAAACUGCCAUCAAUCAAUCUAAAGAGCAAGCAAAGGCAAUUGAAAUUGCUAAGUCUACCACUGAGGGCCUGAAAGAUGAAGGGAUCAGUGAUAGUAUCCUUGUUCUCUUGGUAUGUUUUUACUUCCAAAUUGUUGUUUAUGCUGCUGAUUUUAUAUUGACAGAAUAAGUAAUGACAUCUCAACAAAUCAUGGUAUUGAGAGCUUGUUUGACAUUUAUCAAACACAGCAAAGAAAUUGAAUUUUAUGAAAUUCCUAUAGCACCCUAUAAUUUGUACCAAAAAAUCUCUGCACCUUUGGCAUGCUGUAUGGUAUGGAAGUAUAGCUGUCUCAGAGAGGUUACUGUUAUUUACUUUAUUUGGUUUUGUAGUAUUGAUGUUAAGUUUGAUUUAAUAAUGUAGGAGCUACUAAAGCCACUUAAAAGUGUUUUACCCUGGAUUCGAGAAGUUGUUUCAUGGGAAAAACCAGCAACCACCCUCACUGUGAUUGCAACAACUCUACUAAUAGUGUACAAGUAAGUCAGUGCUCCCUCGUAAUUUUCUUAUAUACGGAAAUUUUUUUGAAAGUGCAUGUUGAUCAAGAACCACUUCAUUACUUGGCCUAUUAAUGUGUAAACUUUGCAAAUGACUAGUAAACUAUAUAAUGGCAAUGUAGGGAGUGGGUAGGCCAGGCUAUAGCUGCUUGUUUGCUCACCAUCGUGGUGAAGAUGCUUCAGGCAAGAAAAAAAAGGUUGACAGACAAAUGCAAUGAGAUAGUAGUAUGCACUGCUUCAGAUCAGAGCACCGUGGAGAGCAUUGUGUCGGCUCAAUACAGUUUGAUAACUAUUCAUGAGAUGUUGCAGGCAGCAAACAUUAUGAUUUUGAAGAUAUGGUCGAUAUUAAUUUCAAAGGCCCGCAAGGUACUCAUUUUGAUAACCUAUGCUUUCAGCUUAGCAAUUAAAUAUCGUUUUCAAUCAAUAUUGCUUAUUCGUCGUUAGCUGAAGUUCGUUUACCUACUACAUUUGUUGGAUGUCUUCAAUUAUUGAGGAGUCUUAGUUGCAUUUCCAAAUUGUUCUAAAUCCUCGUUUCAUUUAAUGGGUUGCAGCAUGCGGACACGGUUAUGGUGGCAUUGACUGGGUUAGCAAUAGUAUUAGCAGUUGUUCCAUUCAAGUAUAUUGUCAUGGGAGGUGUGCUGUACGGCUUCAUUAUGAACUCGAAGCCAAUGAAGUACCUGGGAAACAACUCAAACGACCAAAGCGGCAACAGACGUCUAAAAGAAUGGUGGGAGUCAAUCCCUAUUAUUCCUGUUCGCGUCGUGGACAAGCUUCCUGAGUGCCCAAAAUAAUGUGUCGGCUCCUGCACAAUCACAGUUGCCUAAAUCCUCUGUUUCUGAACUUUUGUUAUCAACUUACUGCACGAUAUACACUUCUGAGUUUGCUUUUGCCAUCAGAGUAGAACUGUAUCUGAAACACAGCAUACACUUAAAUGCUCAUUACAAAUUUGGAGAAAAGCACAAGUAGAAAAGGAUUGAAGACAUUCAGUAACGUUGAAAUUCUGCAUUUUCUUUAAUUUUUGUUAUGAACAAGUUUCUUAAUUAUUUGUUCUCUUGAUGUAAAAUAGCAUAUUGCUGGGAGUAAUGAAGAUGUGACUGUGCUUUUCCUAUUAGCAUGUUAAUAAAAGCAAAAUGGAAAAUUAUUAGUUACGUCCUCUCGUUUUGCGGCUUAUUGAGCUAACAAGUAACUUCUUCAUUACUAGCGUGCAAGUUUGCAACUAGUGAAUCUCAAAUAUAACUCUACCCAAUGGAUGGAUGUACGAUGGAUGUACCUACCCAAUCAUUUAUUUCUCAUUAAAUCUGUUAAAACAGAAAAAGUCCCGACGUCAUAUUCUUCGCGCCUUUUAAAAAACGACACGUGUCGUAUCCCACUACUCGCGUGCUGGAAACUUUAACCCACUCUGACUGCGUGACAGCAGAUCAUUCCCAAUUCAUUUCAGUUUCACUGUCACUUUCACUCCUCCUCAGGCGCCUUCCGACAAACAGGAAGAAUGCAAACUUGAAAACCCCCAAAAACCCUAACGUUCCCCCGGAGACCCUAACCCACCAUAAACCCUGGCUCUUAAUCCUAGCCACUAUGAGCGACCAAGACGAGCAAUCGCGAGCUCAGAAAGCCGCCCAGUUAACAAGUCCGCUCUCAUCCUCUCUCUCGAACCUUUCUUCUUCUUCAAGAAGCAUCCCCUCUAAUCAAGAUUUCCAUUUCUUCUACAAUUUCCCUGAAUUCAAUCAACCCGUCCAAGAAAUCGCGAACCAAUCGCAGCUCCUCCUACAAUCCAUCGGCUCAUCGGAGAUUUUUAACCAACCGAUCAAUUUUCCUGAUGAGGUUGACAUCUCGGACGCCUACGACUGGCUUGUCGACGUAAACGACAACGUUUUCGAGCGUAUGGAUGUUUCUUUCGACGAAUUUAGUAAAGUAAGAGGGGAAAAUGGGGAAGGAGAUGGAAAUGAAGGUGGCUUUCAGUUGGUUUAUGGGAAGAACAAGAAGAAGGGCGACAUUGUGGGUGGCUCUGCCCCGGCCAGUGUGAAAGUGAAGGACAGGAAAGAGAAAAGCAAGGUGCCGUUUCAUAUAUCGACUAUAACAAAACCGCAAGAGGAGUACAAGAUAGUUGUGAACAAUGCGAACCAGCCGUUUCAGCAUGUUUGGUUGCAGAAGAUUGAGGACAGUGGACGGUUUAUCCAUCCUCUUGUAAGUUUGUUAUUUUUUGAAUAUUUUGAUAUUGGAUUUGACUUACUGGGUUUGUUAAAUUUGUAAUCUGAAAAUAGUACCUUUCUUAGGGACUUUUUAGUGAUCAAUUAUUUCUUUCAUUUUCUUUUUGGGUGGUUUGUGGUAUAUGUUUACGCUUAUCUUGUUUGGAAUUUGUGUGCAAUUCUUAUUAUUCAUGCGAGAAUUUUAACACUAUCAUGUGGUUCAUGCUUGCCAAAAAUAUACCAAAACACUUUUGCUUAUUGCUAUUGCUUUAUUUGUACAGGACAAUCUUUCUGUUUUGGAUUUUGUUGAUAAAGAUAUAGGGGAUGUGGAACCUGUAAAACCUCCCUCGUUGGAGCAGACACCAUUCAAGCUUGUGGAAGAAGUUAAAGAUUUAAAGGAGCUAGCUGCUAAAUUGAAGAGCGUAGAUGAGUUUGCGGUAAAGUCUGACUUCUGUGAUUAUGUUUUAUUGAUAAAUAAUGCCGUGGUUCAGCCUUACUGCAGUAGUUUCUUUUUUUCAGCCUUUUGAUUUCUCUUUUCUGAUGGGGCAUUUCAUAUACAGAACUGAACACUGUCCUAUGUAGAGGAUAUAGUGUAGUUAAGGCACAUGUCACCGAUGUCAGCUACUUCAAAAUUAUAUAGUGCUGGAUGUGGUUUAAGCCAAUAAGACAAGAAAGGGGUGUGGCCGCCUAUGAAGAUACAUACAAAUAUGUUAAUAUUCGAAACAUAUACAAAGAAAUGUGCCUGUAAUAGUUUUCCUGUCUACGUAAAGUAGUAAACCAGCUGUCUAUUUAAUCUUGAUACAAGUUUUGCAUGUUUAAAAAAUUAUCUUUCAUCUUUAACAGUGAGUCCAUUUUUAGCUGUAAUCCUUUUCUCAAGCAUGACUUGGUUUUGCUUUCGUUUUCAUCUCAACAGUAAACCUGUUUGCAACUAGAAAACAUUGUAAUUUUUUUGUAACUUUUCUCUAGGUCGACUUGGAACAUAAUCAAUAUCGAUCUUUCCUAGGAUUGACUUGCCUGAUGCAAAUUUCCACCAGAACCGAAGAUUUUGUGGUAGAUACGUUAAAGCUUCGCGUUCAAGUUGGGCCAUAUCUUAGGGAAGUUUUUAAAGAUCCUACCAAGAAAAAGGUUGGUCCCUUCAACAUGCUCUCGCGUAGCUUUGUGAUAAAUCUUAUUUUUUCCCCCCCAAAUUAUGUUAACUUUUACUUUACUAGGUGAUGCAUGGAGCAGAUCGAGAUAUUGUGUGGCUUCAACGGGACUUUGGCAUAUAUUUGUGCAAUAUGUUUGACACAGGACAGGUUUUAUCCCUUGAAACUCUCUUUGAAAUUUGAGACUUUAUUGAUGAUCUUGUCUGGUUUUUUGUACAAUGGUUAAAUUUAUCUUAUCUUAUCUGCUUUUUUGUGGUCUAAUUUAUGAGUGUUGAUGCAAGCCUUUAUUCUACUAAAUUAGUUAAAUUGAGUUAUCUUUUGAUACUGUAUUUUCAAUUUUGUAAUUCAUCUUAUGUGUUUGAGUCAAGGUUUGGCUUCAAAAAGCCUUGUCAGUUACAUGUCAUCUCUCCCUUAAUUUUUUCAAAGUAGCUUCGCUUGUCAUUUGAACUAUUUGUAUCAUUAUUUUCAAUUUUGAUGUGGAACUUCCCCCAUUUAUUAAUGUUCUUUUGGUUGUUUUUGUGUAAUGCUCUUUUGUAAAUUUUACCGUGGCAUUUAUUUUGUUUUGCAUUUCAAAUAAUAGUGAGAAUUGCUUUUUUCAGUCCUAAGUUUAUUGGUUUAUUGUAAAUAUACUGUAUAUUUAUUUUGGUUUGCAUUGGGAGAUGAUCGUGGGAAUUUGUUUCUGUCUUUUCAUAAGGCCUCAAGAGUCUUGAAAUUGGAGAGAAAUAGUUUGGAGUAUCUUCUACAUCACUUUUGUGGAGUUAAUGCCAACAAAGAGUGAGUCCUUUUGUAAAGUACCUGAUCUGUUUCUCCUUAUAGUUUCCGCCCUUCAUCAUCCUAAGUCAACUCAUUGCAGAUACCAGAACGCAGAUUGGAGAGUACGUCCUCUUCCCGACGAGAUGCUGAGGUACCUUUGGUUCUCUUUUUAUCUUCUUUGUAACCUACUUUUCUAAUGAGUUCUCCAAAAAAAAAAAAAUUAUGAUCUGUUUGGCAUGAAAAUAAUUACUACUAUUUUAAAGUUCUUGUAUUCUUUGGAAAAGCAGAAAUCAUAUAUCAUCAUUUAAGUGUUUGGGGUUUCAUCUUUGCCUGUAUUUUUGUAGAAACUAAUAAUAUUUUUUUUUCUGUGGCUUAGGAUUUGAAUUGUGGGAAUAUCUAUGUUGGAAAUUAAUAAUGAGUGCACAUUGACUCUUGAUAGUGGACAAAUAUUUGGACAGCCAGGAAGGGGAAGGCCAACAAAAGUUUUGGGUUUUUAUAAGUUGAAGUUAUGAAUGGUUUUAUAAUUAAUUAGGUAUAGGUUUCCUCAUUUGGGUAUUUCUGGGAGAUCUGGGUUAUAAGAUUGAGAUAUUCCAGCCUGUAUAGAUAAUUGUAGGGUUGCCUGUGUUUGUGAUAUUCCAGCGCGUUUAUUAUUACUACUUCUUAUAUAUAUAAAAUUUUAGACUCUUUCCAUGUCUAACAAGAAGUUUUCAUGAUAUCACUUGGAUCCUACUCAUGCAGACUUGUAAGGCAUCCUUAGGUGCGGUUAUGUGAUCUGGUUUUUAUAAAUAUUUUUAAAUUUUUUGUCAGAGACAAUGCCUGUAGUGACAAUGUACUGACUUAUCUUUUGGUUAUUACCAAGCUGAAUCAGGUUGCCUGUGGUUUAUGACCAUACCAUUUGGUCUUAUAAAAUGUUCUUCCCUUCACCUCAUGUUCUCAUACUUUAAAGCAUGAAUAAUAUCUAAGGGCCUGAGAUUAUUUCAUUAAUUUUUCCCAAGUCUAGAUCCUUCCCAGAGAAAUGGAUGGAUUACCCACACACUCACCAGUAACAUGUCGUACUUUAUGACGGUUUUGCAUUACUGCUGUAUGUCAUUUAAUUUGCCCUUUUGAGGAUUCUUUAUUUUCUCUGGGCUGAUGUUACUUUGUGGUGCUUUUUUUUCCUAUUUAGUCAAAAUAUAUAUUCAUCAUAGAGUUUCUCUGUUAGAAUUUUCUUAGCUUUGAGGAUUCGUUAGUGGCAUAUCAUCCAAUUGAUUAUACUUGUGAUGACAGAUACGCUAGAGAAGAUACACACUAUCUGUUGUAUAUAUAUGAUAUAAUGAAAAUCAAGUUGUCCUCAAUGCCCAAGGAGUCUGAGAAUUCUGAUACUCCCCUGACAGAGGUAUGAUUUUUGCUUAACUGUUGGUGUUGUUUUGUAAAACUGUUGGGCAUCUCUAUGAUUAUAGAGAAUCCAUUUUUAAAUGCUUUUUUCAGAUCUUGUUGUGCCAUGUAUGACAGACCAUUGCGUCUGGAGAUUGGCAUGGAGCUUAAUAAUUACAAUGUUAAAAAUAGAACAUAAAAUAUUGGGAAGUAUCUAUCAUGACUAAUUCUUCAACUGUUUAAGGAAGAUAGUUUAAAUCCGAAUAUCCUUUUUUGGAUUGUGGACUAAAGAAAAUUGUCAACUCUUGAUUUCUCUUCCCAAGGAUGAAGACGUAUCAGUCUGUUGGCAAACACAUUUUUUGAAUUUUACUUUAGUUAUCUAUAAUUUUACCAUAUUGAGCAAACAUUUUGUUGCAAACAGGUCUACAAGCGCAGUUAUGACGUAUGCAGGCAGCUGUAUGAGAAGGAGCUUCUGUCAGAAAAUUCUUAUCUCCACAUUUAUGGGUUUGUCUUUGUCCCUAUUCAUCUCAGUUUAAGUUUUCAUUUAGUGGCCUCGCCUGUUUAAAAUCUUCUCUCAUACAGUUUUUGUUUGUUUCAUUCUUUACUUAGCAUUACUUCUCUUGUUUAAUUUUAGUUCUAUUUUGGACUUCGUAUUUAUGUGAUUUGACAGAACUUAAUCAGUGGAGCUUAUUUCUCUAUGUUGAAAUAGGUUGCAGGGGGCUGGUCUCAAUGCUCAGCAGCUUGCUGUUGUUGCGGUAUGUCAGUUCUUCAUGUGUUUUUCAAACUUUGCCACUUUUCUAUCUGGAUAUUAUAUGCAUGAGGAUGCUACUGAAAAUGUAUUAUCCGCAUGUUUUGUUUACUAGUUGCAUCUUCAAAUGAAACAAAGUCUUGACCCAGAAGAAUCCGUAACGCACCAAUAGUCACUAAUAGGAUUGUCUUGAGAAAUUUACUUCUAAAUUUUUGAGUGGAUGAUAGAAGGGUGGAUUUUAAGUAGCUGACACAUCAUUGCCAACUGCUGAUAGAGUCUGUUGCAUACUUGAGUAUUCUUGCUAGUUCUGGCCCCAUUGAUCCCACUUCAAUGAUUUGCAGGGUCUUUGUGAAUGGCGAGAUGUUAUUGCUCGUGCAGAUGAUGAAAGUACUGGCUAUGUAUUGCCAAACAGAACUCUGAUUGAAAUUGGUAGAAACCUGUCUGAAUUUCCUCCAACUCUCUCUUCUAUAUGUAUAUAAUCCAUUUGGUGAGUUAUGAGUUAAUCAUAUUUUCCUUUUGUGGUAAAAGCCAAACAGUUGCCUACUACUGCUGCCAAGUUACGUCGAUUGUUGAAAUCAAAGCACUCAUAUAUUGAACGCUAUAUGGGUCCGGUACUUAGCAUCAUAAAAAAUUCUAUGCAAAAUGCUGCUAAUUUUGAAGUCAUUGCUCAAAAAUUGAAAGAGGAACGUAUGGAAGUGGUAAGACCUGCAUGCUCAUGUUUGAUUGUUUUGUUAUAUCAGUGAUCCAAAUUGAUUAUUUUUCUUUGAGAAUUUGAUGUUAAUGCCUUCAAUGGAUUGCCAACAUACAUUGAUUUUCUUUUUCUUUUCCUUGGAUUUCGUUAGAAUCAGACCAACCAUCUUUUAAACGAGGAUGAUGGUCCAAAACCUUAAGGUCUACUACGAUGAAUUGCUACUUUUUGUGCAAGUUCUUGUAAUUCACUCAGCUGGUUGUCUUCGGCAAAUGAAAGGAAAAAGGAAAUUCAUCCAAUCCAGUUCUAUUGAAGAAAAAGAAUCCUAGUUGAUCUUACAAAAUUAAGCUUUCAUAAUUUGUUAACCCAUGGAAUGUGAUUAAAACUCAUGGACAAAGGAUGUUCCAGUUGAGAAAGGGAUUUGAGUGAUUUUUAGCAAUUAUCAGUGAUGUCUUCAUUAGAAGUAAGUUUAUGGUUUAUAGCAGUAAAUGCUCAAUAAUUAGGUACUCCUUGUAUAUUGGCUGACCGGGUCCCAUGUUUGUAGUAGGUUUUGUGAGCUACAGAGGAUUAACUUCAGUCAGUUUUCCAUGUUAUGGCUGUUAAGAGCUAUGUCACCAUUUUUCUUUGUUUACAUCAAACUAAUCUUUUUUUUUCCCCCCAUUUUUCCUUAUUUGUGUAGGCAUCAGAAGAAACUGAAGUUUUAGUUCUUGAUACUUCCUCAAACUUGAAAAUUCCGAAUGUUGGAAGGGAGAGUGUUGAUGGUGUUGAUGCAUUAGUUGGUACCACGAUGCCUCACCCACCAGCUUACACCCAGCUGAAACAAGAGCCUCCAAAGGUUGGAAGCAGUGUCGCAGAACUUGACAGAAAUGGACUAGGGUCUUUUGCGCAUCCUGGAGAAGCAAUUGCUUCAGAAAAUAAAGAAGCUACUCAUAUUUCAACACUUUCCAGCUCUGGUCAAAGUAGAGACUUGAAUGCUUGCAAGUCACCUUCACCAAGGGUUGUGAAUUUGAUGCCUUAAUGUGGAUUUUUUUUUUUUUUGGUUAAGAGGUUUAGCAUUCAAUUUCUUUUUCUUUGGUUGUGAAUUUGAUGCCUUAAUGUGGAUUGGAUUUUUUUUUUUUUUGGUUAAGAGGUUUAGCAUUCAAUUUCUUUUUCUUUAUAGGUUACUGAAGCUGCUGUUCAGGCUCUAAAGAAGCCGAACCGUGGUUUUGGAGCACUGCUGGGUAACCCAAAGAGAAAGUUUGAUGGCGAGAAAAAGGUGAGUUAAUCAUUUGCUAGUAAUGGUUGUUAAACAUCUGCUAUGUCAUUGUCACAUAGCAAAAUAACUAUUUCUGAGGCCUGCCAGUCACCCAGUUUGUGCAUGUGUGGUUGGGAAGAAGGCAACAAAGGAAGAAUAUAGUUAAACAUUUGCUAUGUUAUUCUUACAUAGCAAAAUAACUACUACUGAGGCCUGCCAGUCAGCCAGUCUCUGCAUGUUGGUUGCAAAGAAGGCAACAAAAGAAGAAUGUUUUUUUUUUUUGAAUCUUCAUUCCAUGAUUCACUUUCUUUUCAAUUUUUCUUGUCAACUAGCAUGUACAUUUGCCUUCUUGUUGCCUUUUUCGUUGCGUGAGUCAUUAUGAAUUAUGAUUUAUAUUAUACGGAAAUUGUGAGUGGGCAACUGUUGGGCUAUAAUCAAACAUGCAAAAUUUCGGGUCCCAUGACUAAGCGCUGCUAUCAUCUGGAUUUGUGUGUUGUUGCAUUUUAUAUUUGGUUAACACCCUUCUUAUUAUCCUCCUUUUGAUUGUUUGUUUGUCUUAAUUAGGACAAGGAAGCUAUGAAACUAGAGCAGAUUAAAUCCUCAGUCAAUCUUCCAUUCCACUCAAUUUUUGCAAGAGAUGAACAGUUAAAACCAGUUGAUGUGAUGAAGUCUGAACCAAAUAAGCCUGACAUUCCAUUUCCUUCAUCUUUUGGUAGUGGGCAACAAACGAAACCAAUCAUAGAGGAAUCCAAUAGAGUUACAGUAGUUUCCCAAUCAGAAGAACCCGCUCCGGCUGCUAGGUCUGAUACAGAAGAUAUUAUUACGUUGGAAGAUGAUAUAGAUGAAGAGGAACAAAACCUUGGUAAUUUGGAAACUGCAAGUGCGCCCGGAGAGGACGGUUCUGCAGGGUCUGCUUUGGAAAUGGGUAAACAAGAUGAGACCAUGUCUCUCUCUGAUUUAUCAACUAGUUUCCAGGAGUGCUUCCACUCUGCUAACAACAAUAGAAAACCUGGAAAGCCUGAGAGAUCUGAAGAACCUAGUGGUUUUUUGCAGCUUAAGCCGUUUGACUUCGAAGCAGCUAGGAAACAGAUCGAGUUUGGAGAAGAUGCCAAAGAAAAAUCAGCUGGGGUUGAUGGAAACAAAAGAAAACCAGUGAACUCUGGAGAUAAGAAAAAAGUUUCAGCUGUAGAUCAAGCUCAAAAAGAUGAUGGAACAAAAGAACUGUCACAAGGUAGACGACGUUCUGCUUUUCCUGCAACUGGAAAUCGAAGUGCAACAUUUCGCUGAGUCUCUGGUAUCAAUCAUGCUGCUCUGUGUAGCAGAAAUUAGUUGAAUUUUGGAUUUUCACAAUCAUGUUCUUGAUUUAAAUGGAAAUUAAUGCUGGUGGACAAAUUCGCAAUGGUUGUACGUAUAUUUCCAUUGCUUGAGGUCUUGUCUGAUACAGCAUGAGCUAACCUGAUCAUCUUUUGAUAUUCAGUAACAGGAGAGAUGUAUGGUCUGCAGGAGCCAAUGAUGGGCAAGUGAUACCUGAGGCCGGUGUCUAUUUGAAGGUAAAAUGGGCGAUGGUUCUAGGUUUCAUAUUAGGUUUUUGAUAGUCUUGAGUAAUUGCCCUACUAUCUUCAUAUUUAAAAAACAGGAUGGUUUCAAACCAAAGUGCGGUUUGUAAUCAAAAGCAUUUGAUCUUUUUGUUUUUGUAACUUUACGGGUUUUAUUUUUAGAAAAAUGGUUCUGUACUAUGGUUUAUUUCUGCCUUAUUUGAUAUUGUGGUCAUCUUAGGCUUUAUUUAGUGUAAUUUUUCAGUUAUAUGUUCGUUUGGGAAGAGGAAAUGAAGUUAAUUUUAUUUCACACUUGCAUAAGAAAAAAUUGUAAUGUUUAUAUUAUUUUUGUUAAAAUUAUUAUUUAAAAAUUAUAUUUGAUAUCUAUUAAUAAUUUUUAUUAUAAUUAUAAUUUUCUUUUUCCUCCAUCAUCUCAAUUGCUUAUAACUGCUGUUGAGGAUGGUUGGUGCGAUGUUAAUAAUUUGUAAAGGGCUUAGUAACAUCUGGUUCCGUGAUGUCGGCCAAACCAUAUCGAAGGGCUUAAUUUGACGGUCAUCGGGGCCUCCUGCCCAGCUGCCCUCCUUUACGGAUUCCGCUUCCGCAAAUUAUUUUAUAUAAACUGUUGUUACAUGAUAGUGGUGGCCGGAUGAAAAUACUACAUGACCAUAUAAUGCUUUCGGUGCAAUGAGUGAAAAAGAGAAAUUUUUAUGUAUUCUCGGAUUGAAGGAGAAAUUUUAAGAUUAAGAUUGUGGAGUGGUAGCAGGAGUAAAUUAUUUACUUACAUCACUAUGAGAGUGUGGAACGAAAAUUAGAAAUUAUGUAUUUUCUUUGUCUUAGAUUGAGAGUGAAUCAUUUUAAAUUAUAAUUUUAUCCUUAUUUAAAGAAUUGUAGUUUUUAAUUAUAAAGUAAAUAAAAAAAUAUAUUUGCACAAUAAAUUAUUUAUUUUGUUAUUAAUUUUAAUUAUAUAAAUUAAUAAUAAUUAUUAUUAUUCUUAAUCAUGUGAAUCAUGAUUUUUUUGUUAAUUUUNNNNNCGUACAGCAGAAAUAAAUAUGAUAUUUUUAUUUUUAAAUAAAUGUGAUAUUAUUUUUAUUUUUAUCAAUAUAAUUAUAUUAUAUUCAAUAAGGAAAUGAUAAAAAGAAAGAAGUGGGAGUAGAUUUCUACUUUUUAUUCAAAAACAAAAAUGAGACCCACAGAGUAGAAGCCUAACUCUCCUCCUUAGAUGAGUACUAAAACGUUUAAGUAGGAGAAAUUCAUAUUUUUGACUCCCACUCUACAAAGUAAACAUAAUAAUAAUAUCAUAAUAACAUUUGAUAAUUCUAUAUAUUUGUGACGUCAUAUCUCAUCAAUUGAUUAAUAAAAUUAAAUGGUGAUUAUUUAUGAAAGAACAAAAUUAAUUCAUGUGAGUUAUGGUUAAUAAAUAAAUAAAAUAUAAAAUGUUAAAUUUUGACUAUAAACUAAUUUCAAUAUCUAAUAAUUUAAAAGCUCAAUAGAGCUAUGAUAAAAACUAAAGGGAGGAUUCUUAAUCCGAUCCGGGAUCUUAAUCAGUUCAGGACCGAUCCACUUCCAGCUAUUACGCGUCAAACAUCCAUUUGACGAUUGACGUGUCACGCCAUCUCACUGUCCUCACAAGAAAACCCGUUACCUUCAAAAUGCUCCAAACCCAUCAACGCCGAAUUCAAAUCAAGCCCCAAGACCAAAUACAAAGCAAAAACAAAUAAACAAACGUCUGUUCAUUCAGUCUGAAAAAAUCAAAAGAAGUAAAAGGAUUGGCGAUGGCGAUGGCGGUUGAAGGAGGAGGGACAUUAUCGGAGAUAUAUCAAAGUGCGAAGAAGUUGCUGUUGAGAGCGAGAGACGGAGUUGAGAAACUGGAGAGACUGGAGAGCUCGACGUCGACUGGGGGAUACGAUUCGCCGGAGCUCUCCUUCGCUGUCAAGAAAGAUAUUUCUCAGAUCCAGUCACUCUGCGUCGAGAUGGAUCGCCUAUGGCGCUCCAUCGCCGACAAGUCUCAGCGCGAUCUCUGGAAGAGGUACCUAUUCAUUUACUGUUUUGCCACGUGGCACCGAAUCAACCUUGUGUCGUGUCCUAAUUGCUCUACGCCAGUUCGGUUGCAAUUCUGUGCAUGAACCGCAAUUUUUAUACUGAAUAUUACAUUAUUGAUUUUGUCUGAGCGACAAGGCAUGCUUCCACGUUUACUUGUUGCUUAGUUUUAUUGUUUUGCCUUCUAUGUUAACAGUCUAUAUAAGUUUUAUAUGUGUUACAGGCAUGUGUAUAUAUGGAAGUACAUUAAUAGCUGUUCAUGCUGUUGCUUGCUUGAGGUCGUUGGUAUAUUUGCAUUUGGAACUAAAUGUGCUUGGUGUGGGUUCGCUAUGUGUGUGUGUGUGUGUGUGUUUGUUUGCGUUUGAUGUUAAAUGGAAUUACCUUCUAUCGAGUCAGUGCCGCAAUUUGAUUGCUUGGUUUUUCAGAGGUGUGUUUUUAUGUUAUGUCAUGCAGAAAAGUUGAACAAGUAGCAGAAGAGGCUGAAUCAUUGAAAGAGAGUCUCGAUAAGUACUUUUUAAGAAAUCAGAGACGGAUAAAUGAAGCUAGAGAGAGGGCGGAAUUGCUUGGAAGAGCUGUAUGUUUAUUCAGUUUUCGUUAGAAGUUUUGAACGGAUUCUGUAGUGUUUUUCUUGUCUGGAAACGAGAAUUAGCUUUCCAAUCUGAUGAAUUUCUUUUAUGUUAUAGAAUGGAGAGUCGUCUCAUAUUUUGAGAAUUUUUGACGAGGAGGCGCAAGCAAUGCAGUCAGUACGCAAUUCAUCGAGGAUGUUGCAAGAAUCGUUUGCAACUGGGACAGCCAUUCUUGCCAAAUAUGCAGAACAAAGGGAGCAUCUAAAGGUAUUGACACUUAAGCUCCUUGUUUACAUGCACAGUUGCACACUAGAAAUUUUUGCCAAGCUCACUCAAACUGUGUGCAAACAAAGUUCACUAAACAGGGUCAAAUGAGAAAUUUACAUUCUUGUCAUGGUUGUAUUCUUAACAUGAUUAAAUAUUUAAAUGAGAACAAUGUUAGAUCCUCAAAGCAAUUAUCUUUAAUAUUGAUUUAUACUACUGCUAUAGAAAUUAUAAGUGUUUGCAGCACCUGCACAAAUGGCUGCAGAGAAUUUAGUCUGUCUAUGGUAAUAAUUUUAAAAGCUGGUAACUCCAAAUAUUCAACAGUGGCUGACAAAAACAAUCCUCAAGUUUUAAAGUAAAAGCAAACUUUGCUUUGAAAUAAUCAGUGACAACAAUGACGUGAAAGUGUCACCAACUGUUUAUAUAUAAUAUCUCCAAUAUUCCAGAAUUUAGUUUCAUAAUGGCUGGCAAAGACUUGGUUUUUUUAAGGUUUAAAGUAAAAACGAUCUCUGCUUUGAAAUGUUCAGUGGCAACAGUGAUGUAAAAUGAUCAGCAACUGUUCAUAUCUAGUAUCUCCAAUGUUUAGAAUUUUGUUUAAAAGAUCCGUUCCAUCCAUAAAAAAAUUUCAUUCUGAAUAAGCAACUCAAGAUUACACUUCGCAAGAACACACCAUCUACCAUUUCUCACAAAUUUAAAUGUCACAACCUAUGAUCCAUUACCAAUUGUGAGAAACGGCAGAUUAUUUGUUCUAAUGAAGUGUAAUUUGAGUUGCUUAUUUAAAAUGAAAUUCUUUUAUGGGUAGAAGGGAACUUCUAAACGAAGUUCUAGGAAUCAAAUUAGCUGUUUAGAUUUGAAUAGUUGGUGAUGCUUUGAUGUCACUGUUGCCACUGAUUCUUCUCGAAAAGAAACAGAUUUUUAAAUGGUAUUAUAGAGGUCACAGAAAAAAAAUAGUCAUGCUAUCAUUGAUAGCACUUGCCACUGAUGUUGAUAAUGAGUUUAACUGAUUAACUUCCAUCUUUGGUUCAGAAAGCACAAAGGAAAGCUCUGGAUGUUCUCAACACUGUGGGUCUGUCCAAUUCAGUAUUGAGGCUCAUUGAGAGGAGGAACCGUGUCGAUACAUGGAUCAAAUACGUAGGAAUGGUUUCUACAGUGGUCAUCUUAUAUUUCUUCUGGAGGUGGACUAGGUGAUCCGAUCUUCAUACUUAGCCACGCAUAGAUCAUUAAUCCGCAUACUUUGGAAUGAUUAAGUUUUGUUCUUGAUAUUUGCCCCAUAAGAGGGUUAAUGAGGAUGUACAAGGCAUUCUUUGAUGAGAGACUAUCCUCUUAUGAGGAUGUAUAAAGCAUUCUUUGUUAAGAGACUAACUCGUAUAGGACGGACUCCCAAAGAAGGUUCUUUGCAAUUCUUGAACAUUUAGAGCGAAGUUGACGAAACGUGCUAGUUGUUUUUGUAUUUUGGCAAAAGGGGAAUUACAGAGUUCGAAGAUUCUAAGAAAUGCGCCAAUUUUGUUUUGUUGUCAGAACGCAAAAACGGCCUGAUUGUGGACGGUUAAAUCCGGAAUUAUGUAGUGGAUUUGCAGUUAUUGAAGGGCAUGCUUGGGAAAAUAAUAUGGUCAAAUAAAAUCAAGAACAAUUAUAUUGUAUCUGCUGUUUAUGCGUCCGUACUUGAAGGUGUCCACGUGGCUGGUGUGUGUUUGUUAAACCAGUAAAAUUAAGUAGUGCGAAGUUCUGAUCGCCGCUCAUUGAUUGUUUUUUUUUUUAACUUUAAAUAAACUAUGAGAAAAGGCUUUGAAUGAGUCGCAGAUAAAUUAAAGUUUUUUUUUUCUUCUUCUAAAUUUAUAUCCAAUGGUUCGGCACAUGUUAUUUUCUUUAUUUUUAGUGCACACGGUAAACUAUUGAUAGUAUUUGGUGUAAACUCACUUUCAAAUCGAUGCUUCACGAAAAGUCCAAAUGACGCGCUAUGAAAGUAAUAUAGAUAACUAGGAUAAGUGGAAAUGAUAAACGAAUAAAAUGAAGUAAAAAGAAUUUUUCAUUUUUAAGGGUUACAAAAUAAGAAUAGUUAAUUACUUAAUUAGUUGACUUGCUAAAAAUUUUUCAUGCAAACAAAUGGUCUGGACUGGAAUCCGUUUAAAUGGAUAGGAAGAAAAUUAGAGUGUCGUAAAAGUACUGGAGUUUCAAAUCCCCUCACGUAGUCACAAGGAUUAGAAGAAAAUUGAAUUGUUAGGCAAAAUGAAAAAAAAGAAAAAAGCUUAACAUUUUUAUUUUCUAAAAAAAUGUUUUUCUUAGUUGUUUUGUUUUUUAAUUUUAAAUAUAUUUAAAAUUUUGAAAUUAAUAAAUGACUUUGAAAACUUGAGUGUGCUCGAGCCUCGAGAUCUACUCAAAUUCUUUUACAUUAUUACAUUAUGAAAAAUUGUAUGAUGUCGUGAUUAAACUAUUGUAUCAAUACUAUGAUAAACAUAAAUUUUAGAAAUUAUAUAUAAGACUAGUAAGUGAAAUGUAAAAUAAAUUAAUUAAUAUAAGAGUGGUAAAUAAUGUUUUAAAAUUAUAAACAAAACAAACACUUAUAAAAAUAACAUAAAAAUUAUAAAUCAACAUUAAAUUUUAAUGUAAAAAUAGUUUAUUUAUUUAAUUUAUUCAAGCAAAGAAAAACUUUACUCAUCAAUUGAAAACAAAAAUUUUGUAUUGAAAACAAUGGGAAUAAGUUUUAUUAAUUGAUUUAACCAUGAAUUUUAUAUUCAUGUCAGGAUAUUUAUAAACUGUUUUUUUUUUUCAUUUUCUAUCAUAGUAUUUGUUUACUAUACAAGUUGAUUAAGUAAACUUAUUAUUAUUAUUAGUAUUAUUAUUAUUAUUUAUGUGGAUCAAGCCAAAACAAAAUAAAAAUACAUUUGAAUAUUACUAGACAUAUAUGGAAUAUUAAUACAAUUGAAUCUAACUUUCAGUUUUAUACAUAAUUCAUCUAGUUUCAAAUUUUACUUCUUAUACUAAAAGAUCAUUUGAGGUUGCUAUCGAGGAGGUUUAAAAUGAUGCAAAAUCACUUAUAUCACAAAUAAAAUAUGAAAAAAAAUUUCUAAAAUUUGAUUUUGAGAGUAAGUUUUAUCCUUAAUAAAAUUCCACAUAUAUUAUCACGUCUAUUACAUAACCACAGAAUUAUCAUUAUUUGAUUUAGAAAUAAAAAUAGUAAAUAUAUAAUGUAAUCAUUAUUAUAGUGAGUUUUUAUUUAUUUUUUCAAUAACUCUUAUAAUAUUUACUUAUUUUACAUUCAUUUACAACUCUUCUAUUUUACUUUUAUAAUUUAUAUGUUAUUUUACACUUAAUGUUGAUGUACAAGUUUUAUAUCACAUUUGUAAACAAGUUUUACUUUAUAUUUACAUGUAUUAUGUUUUAUUUACUUAAUUCAUGUUUUAUUUUAUACUUAAUGUUGAUUUACAAGUUUUAUAUUAUAUUGAUAUAAGUUUUUAUUUUAUUUACUAAUGAUAUAUCAACUUACCACUGUUAAUUUACUUAUUUUACCUUCAAUUUGCAAGUCUUGUGUUUCAUUUACAUAAUUUAUUAUGUUUUAUUUUACGUUUAAUGUUGAUUUACAAGUUUUAUGUUAAAUUUACACCUCUUAUAUUUUAUUUACACAAUUUAUGUUCAAUUAUAGUAUAUUAUAGAAUGACUCAUUUGACAUUACAAUACAAAAUUAUAAACAUAAAUAGAUGUAUCAAAAAGUCUUGUCGAAAAAUGAAUCCACCUUAAUACGGACCUGUCUCAUUGUUUUAUAAUUAAAGUUGCACACUCUUACAAUGAACUUGAAGAAAUUGAAUUCUCAACAUCAAUAAUGAGGUGUCUAUUACUAAUAAUAGUUUAUAAAAAAAAUAAAAAAAAUAAAGAAAUAUGAUUAAAUUGAUCAAUGUAAUUUUAUUAAAAAAAAGAAGCAUUUUUAUUACAAAAGCAAUCUCAAAAUAUAUAUUUUUUGUAGUUACAAAAAAUCAUGACCUAGUGGCGACCUAGUGGCGACCUGGUGGGCGUAUAUACAAAAAUCAUAAUAUUUUUAUACUGAUUACAUAAAUUCGGUGAUCACAGACCACAGUAAAACCCUGAAACCGCCCAACGGGGUUCUUUACCAGAGGAAAAAAGGGAGGAAAGAAAAUGACUUUUUAAUAUAACGGCACGGGUUUAAGCCAAAAACGGUGGAAUCAAAUCAUUGACACGUUCGUGCGAUGCCUUCACUCCUCAGGCAAACCAGACUCCCGCAUGUGAAUGCCACGUGAACGUAGCUUCUUCACAUAAUUUUUACCCCAAUGUCCAAAUUACCCCUUAUCUUUUACUCCUUUUUUUUUCUUUUUAACUUUGCCCGAUUUUGAAGUCUAUUACGUAUUGCGGACUGCUGCCCUCGCUUGACGUGUUUUUUCUCCUUUUUUUUUUUUUUCCCUCUCCAAACUAUUCUUUUCAAUUUUAACUAAAUAAUUUUUUUUUUUAUUACGAACAUCAACUUAAAAUUUAGGUUAGUUAGACACUUCCCCACUUCAUCCUUAAAGUCAAGUAUUCAUAUCUAUCUGUCUAUGGUGAAUAAUUUUUUUUAUUUUUUAAACUACGAACAAGUUAUCUUUUUUUUUUUUCUUUUCCAAUAUCACUAUUUAUCCACUUUUAGUUUAAUUCUUUCUGCCUAAGAUGAUCAAUUUAAAUUAAAAAUGGGAUUUUGAAAUUAUUUACUAAAAAUCAUGAUUGUUCUUUUGACGUAUUUGAAUAAAGUUUAUUUGGAAAAAUUAAUGUAAAAAAAAAAAAUGUUGGAAGAUUACGACAAUGGAAAUGUAGUCUCUGGUGAAAUGCUCUGAUUCAAUCAAUCAUCAGCAAAUGCGGUUCGCACGUUGGCAAUGGAACUCGUGAUAGCACAACCGUGAAAUGUCCUUCAUUUGGGAGUCCACGUUAAUCACAUGUGGGUCCAUCUUGAGUGCUUUUGUGCUUUACAAUUAAAAUAGACAGACAGGCUGAUGACCUGACAAUUUCGAGCCUGAUAAAGCCCCUUCAUCAACUUGAUCAGAAGGACAGGACAGCUAUUAAUAGAAAAAAGCAGCAGACUAGUACUAAUCGAGAAGUCAAACAGAUAAAAACUAAAACUAAAUAAUCUAAUCUCCUCCUAAUUCACUAAAUUAUUUUAUUUCUAUUGGUAUAAUUAAUUAAUUGAUUGAUUAAUCAAACAUGCCUUCACAAUUAAAUAGUUUCAACAGUGUAAGUUGAACCACGUGUCAAGCAAAAGCAACCAUCAUUUAUUAUAAUUUUUUUUUAUUUUUUUCGAAAAAGGAAAAAUCAAAAAACAAGGCAAGUUGAUGCCAACAGGAUCUGAUCCGGAAGGGUAACCGAGUCAUUUCGCCGUCAUGCAUGCCUCAAUCCGGAUUGCCUGCCCGCCCCCACGUUGGAAAACCAGGGACGCAUCGAUAAGCAGUUUCAACACCCAAAACACAAACUUGGGGGCGGGAAUUGCAAAACGAAAUAACAGCUUUUGCUUUUGCUUUAAUUUUUUUCCGUUUGUUUUCUUAAAAAGAAAGAAAAAAAAAAAUACUCCCAGUUCCACAAUAGAGCCCCUGGUUUUGCCUAUUUCUUUAAUCCUUUUACGCAGACUCAUGAUAAAUAUCUCCAUCUAUCAGUCAGUCCAUACGGUUUCCUUUCAUCACCAACCCCACCAACGAAAACAAAAAAAACAAAACAAACCCCCUCUUCAGAAAUAUAAUUAUAAUUUUCUUUUUCUAUUGAAUUAAGCUUGUUGGGUAUAAUUUGCUAAUUAAUCAAAGAUCGAUCUAUGACGACGGAAGCGGUCAGCAAGGUUGGAUAUGCGCAUAGUAAGGUUGCUAUGAAGAAGAAGAGCGGUUAUCGAGGUCGAUGCAGGAGAAGAAAUCACGACAGAUAUGCACCCGAUAAUAAAACGGUGCCGAUGGCGCUGCAGCGUCUGUUUCUUUCUUGCAAAGACGUCUUCAGAGGCCCUGGAACCGUUCCCGCUCCUUCUCAUGUCCAAAUGUUGUGCUCUAUUCUUGGUAAGUGUUUUUUUUCUUACACUUCAUCAUUUCUGGUCCAAUUUUCUUGUUUUUCAUUUGGCCGCUGCACUCGCAUGACGUGUAUGUUGUGAAAUCUGAACCCAUCAUCAUCCUUCAUCCAUGCACAUAUAUAUUAUCAGUCAUGAGAAAUUUUGAAUCAGCCAUUAAAAAAAGAAAAAAAAAAAGAAAAGGAAAGAUUCAAUAUUAUCAAAUCAAUACCAUUUUGUUUCAUGAGAUGAUCUAUGAAAGAUGGGAAAGGAGCACUGCUCCUUAUUUCAUUUCCUGUCACGUCUGUGUUUCAAUCAAUUGUAAUAAUACAUAUAGCCACGUAAAAAGCAAGGGGCAAUACUCUUUACAGCACGAAAACCUUCUCAAAAAAGGGGCUUUACUUUAUUGGCAGUAAUGAAUUGUUUUGAGCAAUUCAAUUCAUCAGUGCACUUAUCAUGUUUACGUAGUUUGUCAAUUUGGUUCCAGUUUUUGGUUCUUUUUAUUGGAUUCAGUGCCGAAAUGUCAUGUGUGUUCAUAGGACGUACUGGGAAAAGGAUUAGAAAUCUGUACUGAAUUUUUUUAAAUUUUGGGGGGGGGUUUUUUUUUGGGGUGGAUGGGGUUAUGGAUCUAAGUGGAUGGUACCAAUUUUCAAAAAUGUAGUUUAAUUAACUUUCCAGUUGAAAUUACAAAACCAAACCAUCCGAAAUGGAUUCUUCGAGAAAAGGUGGGUUCAGAAAACAAAGUGGUUGCUUCUAGGUGAAUCCAGAUUUUUUUCACGCGGACACAUGGUACCUUUUGGUUGAUUACCCAGCCACAGUGUUGCUUGAGGGGACAAAAAUAUCAUAUUUGUUUUUUUUUUUUUUUCCAAAUUCCUUUUUAAUUCGUAACUCAAUCUCAUGGGAUCCUACUCAGCAGCCAUUGUGAUUAUUUUUUUUACCUGACGACGCAAAAAUCUUUGCAUUAGAAAGGAUACAUAAGCACAUUUGCCUACUGUUGCUACGUGUACAUGUGCAAUGGUUUGGUUGCAAAACUGGAAGCAUUGGCACAUUAUAUAUAUGUGUGUUUUUUUUUUUUUAAUAUGUAUAAAUGCAUGGAUCAUGACACUUGGCUAAGUUAAAAUUUCCAUUUUCUCGUUAUCAUAAAGAUUGCCAGUGACUCAAACAAGCUUUUCUUUUUAAAUUUAUGAUGCUACAGAUGAAAUGAAGCCAGAGGAUGUUGGGCUUAGCAGUAAGUUACAGUUACUUAGUGCCAAAGAUGCAAUGAAAGGGACGCCAAUUGUCACAUCCACUACAAUAUACAAAUGCCAGAACUUUUCGGUAAAGACAUAAGCUAUUCAUAUUGGGCUAAAUUAAAUUCUUUUAUUAUCGUAUACUAAUUUGUAAACCAUACUAAUUAAUAGUGCAAAUUUGAUUUAGAACUUGAUAGAUUACCUUUUGGAUUCUCUUUUGUGCAGUUGUGUCUUUUCUUUCUUCCUCCAACUGCUGUGAUCCCCUUGCACAACCAUCCGGGAAUGACUGUUUUUAGCAAGCUUUUGCUCGGGACAAUGCACAUAAAAUCGUACGAUUGGGUCGAUCCUGUUGACGCAAACGAUUCUGCAGCCCCCACAAAACGUGAGUACCGCUUACCUUAUACAUAUAUGUCCAUGUAUAAUGCACACACGAACACACACACACACACACUCACAUAUCAAAACAACACGAUAACUUGAAUGUGCUAGCUCGGACUAGGAUGAUCAUUUGUGACUGAAAGUGAUGAUUUAAUUAAUUUGCAGCGCGAUUGGCGAAGUUGAUAGCCGACAGUGAUUUCACAGCACCUUGCAACACUUCUGUGCUAUAUCCAACAACAGGAGGCAAUAUCCAUGAAUUCACAGCCAUUACGACAUGUGCCGUGCUCGAUGUGCUUGGACCUCCCUACUCUAAGGACGAUGGUCGGGACUGCUCAUAUUACAAGGAGUUGCCACUUCCCGCGGUUCCAAGUAAGCGAAACAAAACCACUUGUUACUGAUUAAAAACAACCUCGUUUAAACCUCCUCGAGUAGCGCUUUCAGAGGUCUUACCAAUUAAACCCACCGAUUUUGUUAAUGCAGAUGGAGAGAAUCAGGAGGCAAAAGAGGAUGAUGGUGGUGAGAGUUGUAGGUGGUUGGAAGAGAUUGGGGUGCCAGAGAACUCACACAUGGAUGAAAUUGAGUACUUGGGACCGCAGAUAAUUGAGUAGUAGCUGUAACUAGCUUCAGCCCACAGUCGCGUGAUAAAAAAAAAUUUCAACGCAUUAUCUUCUUUUGUUUCAUAGCUAGUCAAUGGUUUUGUAUUUAUAUAUACACAUAUAUUACGUUGUUUCCUGACCUGAGUUUUCACUAUGUUAAUAGCAAAAUUUCAUUUCUUUUUCUUUUUUCUCUUUAAUCCCGGUAUCUUCUUUAAUAACUUGAUUACUUGAGUACACUGUACCAUUGAAAUCAUGGUUCAUGCCAUAGUUCCCUUAGAGGAAGGUCCAAACCCGGCUUAGGAGAAAUGGAGGUUUGGGCUGUCGAGGGCCUUGGUGUUGCUAUGUUCCCAAGAGAUGUUUACUUGGGCUGUCGAGCGCGCCGAGAAGUGCUUAAUAUUACAUCAAUGGGCCGGGCUUGUAACCGACUACUACACAUUCCCAUGGCGGCAAUCCUGAUCAGUAAUUAACUUGGGAUUUUGCAUUCAAUGAUUGCCACAAUAAUAUCAGCAAACUUUUCAGAAGAACCUUAAUUGAUAAUUGUCAUUUUGCAAUCAUAGGUUAGUUGAUGGAUAUACCAUGGGCCCUGAAAAUUAAUUAAAAUAUCAAACAUUGUAUGCUCCUAGGUUGGAAAUUUUUCAAAAUUUUCAAUAGAAAAAUAACCUCAAAAUCAAUAUUUUACAUGUGAAGAUCUGUUUCAUUAACAAGCGCGAUGGGCCAAACGGAGGGAGCCAGGAAUUUUAAGCUGUUCAUAUUUGACGCCCUAAUUUGGGAUUUGCUAAUACGGAAAAACUUUGAGCUGCUCACUAAUUUAUAUCUUGACUUCGAGAAUCUGCGCAAUUACUAAUUAGUAGCCAUCAAUAAUUGUCAAAAAUCAAUUUUGAAUUUCGAUAUUUUUGAAUGCAUUGGUGUUACGUGUUUCUCCAUACGCGUUAGUAAAUUUGAGAUGGUGUAAAUUUGUAAUAAACUAAUAAUAUCUUCUUUUUUUUAUAAUUUGAAAAUCAACCCAAUCUGAUUCUCUAAAUUAACAAGAUCAAAUUGACUAUCCAAUGUUCAUUCACUAGGAAAGUCCUAAAGGUCCCUCUAAACUAGAAAGUUACUCAAAUCUAUGGCCAAAAUAAAGUCUUCUUAUAAUUAAAGAAACAACCCAUCUUUUUUUAAGAUCUUCUGACAAUGAAUUUUCAAUUAUGAUGGGGUUUGAAGUUUUGAAAUUUUCUAAGAAUUAUUAACAACUGAAAAGAGAAAGCAAAAGAAAAAGGACGAUGUGAUAUGGCAUGGGACAUGGACUUCCCACCACCUUUACAUUGCCAUCAUGCAAAAAAAAAGCUCUCAAUUUUAUGCUUAGCUUGUUCUUGUUUUCUUUCUUUUAUCACUUCUUUAUUACGUGGGUCUUGAAUUCUCAAUAGUUUCUAAUUGUUAAAAAACUCCAUGAAAAUUGCUUUCCCUAUUGUAAUACCUCCAUUAAGGAGAAUGAAGGGUUAAAAAUGUACCGACAGAUACUGGAAAAUUAUUGAAUGAAGUAAUCAACAUGAUUGUUCACUGACAAUAUUAUAUUCGGAAUAAUGAUAGCUGGUUGUUUUGGAUUGUUUUAGAUGUUGUAUUAGCCAAUUAGGCAUAUUGGUAUAUAUUAUUAUUAUAUGAAAUACUAUUGCCUUUUUUAUUAGCAAAAGACUUUCGGUUAAGAUUUUGCUUAAUUACACGAUUGCAUCGUGAUUGUUUUUAAGCUUCAUCAUUCAAUUCCAAAACUUAACGUAACAAAAGAUCUUACUAACAAUACUAUUUUAAUACCCAUUUUUUUCCCAGUCACGUGAGUGUAUAUGAUCUCCAUAUCUUUGGUACUAUAUCUAAAAAAUUUUUCCAAUCAAAUUAAUUAACACCCGCAGCUACAUUUAAGCAAAUUGUUCUAAGCCGCUAGGGUUUAAUCUAGUAGUUAAAACACAACCCUUACAAUUGUGAGAUUAUGCGUUCGAACCCUCACAACAAUACAUUGUGGGGGUUUAAUUUUCUUCUCUAAUUUGAGUGAAAGCAGUCUCAUAAAAAUAUGGAUUGUGCUUGUCCCAAAAUUAUUUAAUUAUAAAUAUCAGUAUACUAAUCUCAUAAAAUAUAAGUAAAUACGAGUUGGAAUAUGAUCAAUAAUGUCAUAUAAUUUUUUUUAUUUAAAAAAAAAAAAGCAAAGUGCUAUGCAAUCCACUUGAUAUUACGACAAUAACUGGCACACUAAUGAACAACUAGUAAAUUCAUUUUAAAAGAAAUAACACCCCAAAUCAUUAAUAUUUAAAAAGAAUCAUUUGAAAAAAUCUUAAAAAGUGUUCGGCAAUCCACUUGUCAUUGUAACAAUCACUCACACGCCACUGAUCAACUUUAGUUUCAUUCAGUAUGCCGAGAAAUAGAAUUUAAAAAUAACAACACCUCAAAAUCAUACAUAUUUGAGAAGAAUCACAUGAAAAUUGAGCAGGUCAAAUAGUUGUGUAUAGAACAAAUUUUUUCAUGAGACAGGCUGGAUAGCAAGAAAUGGAAGCCAACUGUGAGUUUCGGUCUUUCAUAGAAUUUGGCCUAACGUUGUCACAUUCACUAUUCACGUACCCAUAUUAUCAUCAUCCCAGUGGGCACUGGCACUGCUGAGUGCUGACCCAAUAGAACAAAAUAAUAAUAAUAAUAAUAAUUCCCACUUGCUCAAUAUUUUAUUCUUUUCAUUUUAAUUGUCAUUUUCCCAAGUAAAUAAAAACCUUUUAUGCAAUUAAUUCUGCUUGUCGGGUGGAUGAGGUGGUUCAUCACGUUCAAAUGUUCAAUCAAUGACAAUUUUAUCGCAAAUUCCAUUGCUUAUAAUUGUUGUAACCAAACAAAUCCCUGGUGCCUGCACUAACACCUUAGCUUCAUUUUCAAUUAAGGCGGUUUUCAACAACUUAUUAACUUUAUUUUUAAAGAAAAAGAAAUCCCAAGUGUUUUUCUCACUAAUUGAUUGCUUAAAAAUACUUAAGAAAAUUACCCACAAAUAAAUUAACGAUAAACAUUUAGUACUAGCUUAUGAUUUUUUUGGGGGGGGGGGGGUUUCUAAUAAAAUUUGGAUUAUUUGGGUUUUAUAUUUGAGAAAAGUUAAGUUACGACGAUCGAUAAUUAUAUACCCUUAAAUAAUUAUUAUCUAAUUUGGAUAUUUUUAUAUCUUAAUGAGUUCGUGUUGAUUUGCCAAUCUUACAAGUCUUUAUUUUACAAAAUAUAGAUAUUUAGAUUGAAAAAAACAUAUAUAUAUAUGUAUGACAGUAUGAGUAGUGUAUAUGUUACAAGAUAUUUUAAAAUUUAAUACUUUAGUUGAGAAAUGCCAUCACCCUCAACUACUCGGUUACAAGAAUAUUAUUGCGUUAUUUAAUAUUCUGUUAUCGAUUGCUUUAUUAGGAAGAAAUAAUGAAAAAUGGGACAUCCAUUGCUAAAGUACAACACAACAUUGUUGACAAGUGAGUCCCCCUUGAAGUGACAACUAUUUUUUUUCUUCCUUAAUAAAGGACGAGCUAUGUGUAUGUGGUUUUGCCGUGCAACCCAAGUUUCAAUGUCUGUAUCAUUUAUAGGGGGAAACCUUAGGUGCAACCCACACACGCCACUCGGCUUUUGGCAGCCUGGUUGAGAGGGCAGCAGUUAUUUUUGUGGGGGCUAAAACAUUCAUUCUUUUUUUCUUUUGUAAUUUUUCAUCUGUGAGGAUUAUUUGUCAAUAUAGAAAUUUGAUACUGUAAUCAAUAUUAAAAAAAAAAAAAAAAGUACCCACACAUACACACAUAUAUCUAAGAAAAUAAAUGAUGAAUACUAUGUAAGAGAAAAUUUGGUAGUUACAGGGUGAACACUUUCUUAUCAAAAUAAUAAUAAUAUAAUAAAUUAGAGACCCUCCUGAAUAUUUCCAACAUGCUUCUCAAAUUGCAUGAGUGUUGGAUUCAUCAACUUAUUAUUAUUAUUAUUAUUAUUAUUAUUAUUAUUUUAUCAUCAAUUGAUGUGCAAAAGGGUGAUGUUAUCAGUUAUCACGGCCUCCUGAGAAAAAAAAAAACUUUAAAUUCAACGUGAAAUGAAAAAUGUAAGGAAUCAAAUCGAAUUGUCAAAAUGAAAUGAGAGGCGAACAAUUUAACUGUUCAGAAAAGAAGCAAAGGCGCCAAAAGCAACGGACGGAACAUAAAAGUGGGUCCCACGUUUCAAAGGGACAAAACCAGAGAAAGCCAAAGCCCACCCCGCAACGAAAGUGAUGCCAAAGCUUACAAUUUGUAUUACCUUAAAAAUUCUGUUCGGUUCAUUUAAAUUUUAUUAUAAAAUCAUUUUCAAAAUUCCAAAUUUUAUAACCAAAAAAUUCGCUGCAUGCAGCGAGAAAGCAGCAAGUGAAGAAUAAAGGGUUCCCCCCGUCAGCAAGAAUCUUUUCUUUUUUUUUUUCGCUUUUUUUUUUCCCUUUGUUUUUUAAGAAAGCAAAAAUUAAGAGAGCAUUAGUUUUGCUGUCAUGAUAAGUAUGGUGUUCAAGAGAGUGUCGGCUAGUGGGAAGUGUUUUGUCAUUCAGUCAUUGUGUUUGCAAUUUUCUUAUGAACCCGUGUCAAUAAAAUGUCUUGGCUUGUGAACAGAAACUGAAAUUGAGCUUCUUUGUGUGUCAGUGAGAUUUACAGUGUCUGUGCAUUGAAUGUAUGGUUGCUAAAUUUUUGCUUUUUUCUUCUUCUUCUUUUCUUUUUUCCCCCCGAAGUGGAUAGUCAAGAAAUAUGAAGAGAUUAUGACUUGAGAUUUUUUUUUAUUUUAUUUGAAGUGAUGAUCUGAAUUAACUGGGCUUUGGUUUCUAUGGUAGAAGUUUUGUUCUAUUUUGUGAGGGGAUUUCUUCAUGAGUUAGGCAAGGAAUUAAUUCGUUUUGAAGUUAGAAUUUAUGUGUUCAAAGUUAGUUUCAAGUGACCUUUCUAAAGUCUUUAAGGUAUAUUGUUGGAAAUUAGCUGGCUUUUUUGUUCAAUCAGUCUCUCAAGAGGUAAGCUCCUUAUGAUCCUUUAGAAGUUUUUAGUUAUGAUAAUGUCGAUUGAUAAAUUAUCUGUAAUUUGUAUAAUAUUUGCAGAGUUUCUGUUGAUCUUGGGAGCUGGCGCUUCUGUAAUUGAGAAGCUAGAGGCAUCACUCUGUUAUCCCAGCGGAUUUUUAAAAGCUCUAGAAUCCCUUUGUGAUUUUCUCUAGUGUUCCUUUUUGUAUGCAUUGAUGGCAAGAGCAUCCAGAUUCAGUCAGUGUGCACUUCUGGUGCUUGCUUACAUUUUGCUUCAGGUCAAUCAUUCGGAGCAACUGCAGUCUUCUCAGGCUCAGACCCUUUUGAGGAUUCAAGGGCUUUUAAACAAUCCAACUGUUUUAAGCAGCUGGAAUAUCACCACUGAGUUCUGCAAUACAGAACCAACCUCGUCUUUAACUGUAGUAUGCUACGAAGAGAGCAUAACCCAGCUGCAUAUAGUCGGCAACAAGAGAGCUCCUACGUUGCCUCUAAGCUUUUCCAUGGAUUCCUUUGUGACGACUCUUGUUAAGCUUCCGGACUUGAAAGUCCUCAGGCUGGUUUCUCUAGGUCUAUGGGGUCCCUUGUCUGGUAAAAUUUCACGUUUAUCGUCACUGGAAAUACUUAAUAUGAGCUCAAAUUUCCUGAAUGGUUCUGUACCUCAGGAGCUUUCAAUUUUAACUAGCCUUCAAACACUCAUACUUGAUGAAAACAUGCUUGCUGGUCGGGUUCCAGAUUGGUUGGGUUCAUUACCGAUUUUGGCUGUUUUGAGCUUGAGGAAUAAUAUGUUCAAUGGGACUUUGCCUGAUUCGUUUAGUUACUUGGAGAAUCUUAGAGUUCUUGCGCUUUCAAACAAUCACUUUUACGGAGAAGUUCCUGACUUCAGUGGUUUGACUUACCUUCAAGUACUUGACUUGGAAAAUAAUGCUUUGGGACCUCAGUUUCCUAAAGUUGGCAAAAAGUUGGUUACAAUGAUACUGAGCAAAAACAAGUUCAGGUCUGCCAUUCCUGCUGAAGUGAGUUCCUAUUAUCAGCUUCAGCGGCUAGAUCUCUCAUCUAAUAGAUUUGUUGGACCAUUCCCUCAAGCACUUUUAUCCUUACCUUCUAUUACUUAUUUGAAUAUUGCUGAUAACAAACUCACGGGGAAGCUUUUCGAUGAUCUUUCUUGCAAUCCCGAACUUGGAUUUGUGGACUUGUCAUCAAAUCUGCUGACUGGACAGUUGCCGGAUUGUCUACUUGCAGGUUCUAAAAACAGGGUUGUCCUGUAUGCUAGAAAUUGUCUAGCAGCUGGAAAUGAAAAUCAACACCCGCUUUCCUUUUGUCAGAAUGAGGCUUUGGCAGUGGGAAUUUUACCUCUGCAAAAGAAGCAGAAACAAGUUUCCAAAGCAGUUCUUGCGUUGAGUAUAAUAGGAGGAAUUAUUGGGGGAAUCUCACUUUUUGUGAUUGCUUUCUUGCUUGUUAGGAGAACUAAGUCCAAGCAAACAAUGAAGAAGACUCCAACAAGAGUAAUUCAAGAAAAUGCUUCAACUGGGUACACCUCGAAGUUCCUCUCAGAUGCAAGUAAGGCUUCAUCUCCCCUUAAUCCCCCUGCCAAGUAAUUCCCAUUCUGUGUUUCUGUUGAAAUCAAGCAUGAAUCUGGGCACACCUCAAAGCUGCUACUGGAGUCAUGCAUUGUGCAAGCUUUAAUGUAUUUAUGCAUGUGUCCACACACAAUGUAGUGUUGCAUUUUUAGGACAUAGGACCGUAAGUUUUAAUUGAAAGGUUGUCUUUGAAUACUCUAUUUUGAUCAUCCAACUUGAAGCCCUCACAUAGAAAUUAUUGACCAGUCAGUUGCAAGAAAUCGAGUGAUGAUUGUGUUCUUGUCUUAAAGCCAGUUAAUAAUAUUCUUGAACUGUUAAAUUGUUGUCCAAGUUUUAAGCUAUAUUAAAAUUGACCAUAUGAUCGUUUGUGCCCCCUGAAGGGUAUAUUUCUCAAACAAUGAAGUUGGGAGCACUUGGUCUUCCAGCUUAUCGAACCUUUUCCUUGGAAGAGCUUGAGGAAGCUACAAACAACUUCGACACCUCUGCUUUCAUGGGUGAAGGUUCUAAAGGGCAGGUAUGCUACUCUGGUACAAUAUAUAUAUGAUGCCUACUUUCAUGUCGCAAUGAUGCACAGUAUGACAGUUCUGACAAUUUGUAUUUUCCCUUUGCGUGAUCCGUUCAAAGAACGGAAAAGGAAAAGUUGGUCCAGCAUUUCUCUACACCUCACAUAUUUCAUGCUUGCAGAUGUACAGGGGUCGCCUGAAGAAUGGUACCUUCAUUGCCAUUAGGUGCCUUAAAAUGAAAAAAAGCCACAGCACUCGAAACUUCAUGCACCAUAUAGAGCUGAUAUCAAAACUCAGACAUUGUCAUUUAGUCAGUGCUCUUGGACACUGCUUUGAAUGCUACUUUGAUGAUUCAAGUGUUAGCAGAAUAUUUCUCAUCUUCGAAUACGUUCCAAACGGCACACUAAGGAGCUGGAUAUCUGGUAAUUCAUGAAAAUCUUUAAUUCGUUUCUCAGGGUGGAGGAUAUAAAGUAAUUAAAGCCACUCUUUUGUACUCCUCUGCUCUAUAAGCCGGCUUUAUGGGGUCUUCAAAAGUAGCUGUGAAUUUUUUAACCUUGAUCCUGCGUGUAGUCAUUGAAUAAAGUAAUCAAUCAGUCUAGAUAGUUCAGUUUCCUGCAAGUAAUUAAUUUACUUAAAGAGAAUAAUUCGUGGUUUUUAAAAUAUAUUGUUCAAAGUCAUCAAGAAAAGACCGAAUCGGAAUCAUGUUCCAUAGUAAUCACAAGAAAUUACUAUUUUAUGUCCUCCAUCCUGACUUGUUGUUAUAUCCAGUUAAUCAAAUUAUGCCUUUAUGUUCUGGCUGGUUUCAAAGUCUUAGAUACUUUUAUGCAGAAGGGCAUGCCUGGCAAUCACUUACUUGGACACAACGUAUAUCAGCUGCAAUAGGGGUGGCAAGGGGCAUACAAUUUUUACAUACAGGGAUUGUGCCUGGUGUAUUUUCAAAUAAUUUGAAAAUAACAGACAUUCUACUAGAUCAGAACCUUGUUGCAAAAAUUAGCAGUUAUAACCUGCCUUUAUUAGCAGAAAAUGCCGAGAAGGUAAAAAGGAGAGAAUCUUCCUUUUCAUCAUUCUGUCCAUCUUUUCCAGUGCCAUGCACUUUUCAGUUGAUUUGUAGCUUGCUUCAUCUGUGCAGGUUGGUCAUGUAACCCCUUAUUCUGGAUCCAUAAAUCCUACAAAUAGUGCAAGGUAGGUAAUUGCUUCAAUAGUCUGACAAAUGUUGUUGCAGUUCAUUAGAAAUAUUAAAAAAUAGGGAUAUUAUCAUUUUUCCACCAAAGGUAUUCUGACACAUCAUGUCAGUACCACGGUUUAGUAAAACUAUCAAUUUACCACCAAACAUUUAAACUGUUAGCAUUUUCUCACCAUUCCGUUAAAACUCAGUUAAUAUGUAAUGAAAAUUUUCUAAAAGGUCAAUUUUACCCCUGGAGCAUAAAAGACCAUGUAAUUAACUUUUUAUGAAUUUUGUAAUUAAAUCAUCAUUUAUUGUUCUUCCUUCUUAAAGGACAAAAAUUACCCUUUAUGAAUUUUGUAAAAUUGACCGUGUGGUGUUAGGUAAUUCAUAAAUUGAUUUAAUUUAUUUAAUUUUUAAAGGGCAAAUUUAUUUAUUUAAUUUUUUGUGUAAAAUUAUUAUCAUCAUAUCAAAGAUUAAAUUGCUUCUUUUGCACUUUUUUUUUUUUUUGCCCUUUCAUAAAUUGAGUUUUAGUAGUAUAAUAAAUUGUCUUUAGCUCGUCAAUUUAAUAAAUAAAUUUGCCCUUUAAAAAUUAAAUCAAUUUAUGAAGUACCUAGCACCACACGGUCAAUUUUACAAAAUUUAUAAAGGGUAAUUUUUGUCCUUUAAGAAGGAAGAACAACAAAUGAUGAUUUAAUUAUAAAAUUCAUAAAAGGUUAAUUACAUAGUCUUUUACGCUCCAGGGUAAAAUUGACAUUUUAUAAAUUUUCUGUUACAUAUUAAUUGAGUUUUAACGGAAUGGUGGGAAAAUGCUAACAGUUUAAACGUUUGAUGGUAAAUUGAUAGUUUUACCAAACCAUGGUACUGACAUGAUGUGUCAGAAUACCUUUAGUGGGAAAAUGAUAAUAUCCCUAAAAAAUAAAAGGAAAAACUAAAAAGGAAGCCUUAACGGGCAACUAAAAUUGCUAAAAAGAAUAUGUUGGGUAUAAACGUAUAAGAUCAUGCACUAAUAAAUCAUGCUGCAUGAAUAUCUACUGCUAUGAGAAAAUAAGUGAUGACAAUCUUCAAAUUUCCUCUAGUUUCUGCUCUUAGAAUUUUCUAGUCAUACAAUUCUACCAAAACAAAUUCAUUCUGAUUUAAAUUGAUGUAAGAACUGUUCUCUCUACACUCUCUUAUUUGGCAGGGGGAAACUUGAAGAUAAGAUUGACAUUUAUGACUUUGGAUUAAUUUUACUAGAAAUUAUUGUUGGGAGGCCAUUAAAAUCCAGGAAAGAAGUGGAUCUUCUGAAAAAUCAGGUAAUGGUUCUGCUUGUUUACAUUACUUUCUUUCAAAAAUCUUUCAUAUCCAUUCUUCUUUCUCAGUCAUCAUGUGAAGAGUUCAGAAUGCCGUGGAAAUUUGAUCACUCUUUGGUGCACAGCUAACACAGUAACACCCUAGGAUUUGUGUUCUAAAAUUGCAUCUACUCGGGCUCUUCUAGAUUUAUGCCAACUCUACUGCUAAAACUUGAAUGUUUCUCUUCUUUGCAUCCUUAAUCUGGUGGCUUACAACUAUGUCAUGUUAACAUAGACCGAAACCUCUUCAUGAUUACUAGCUGGUUACUCAUGACAGCAUACCUUUGACUUUCUGUAGUUACAAGCUGUCAUUACUGCUGAUGAAUCAGCACGACGGAGCAUGGUUGAUCCAGCAGUUAACAAGGCAUGUUUGGAUGAGUCACUGAAGACAAUGAUGGAAGUCUGUGUCAGGUGUCUGCUUAAGAACCCAGCAGAGAGACCUUCAGUUGAGGACGUGCUAUGGAAUUUGCAGUUUGCUGCUCAAGUUCAGGAUGCAUGGCAUUCUCAGAGCAGUGAAGGGUCUCCAAUCUCACCUCCAUGGCCAUCACACCAACACCUUUCCUUUCAUUAGUUGCAACAUUCAGGUCCUUACACUGCUAAAUAUAAACCUGUUAACAAAUCUUUUGAUAUAAAUACACAUCUUAUUUCCUACAAACUCUCCAGUAAAUGUUGAGUUUCUGGUCUUCGAUCUUCGCUUUACAUUGUGCCUACUGAUUUGAAACAAAAAAUUUGAAAUGCAGGACAUGCUGUACGUGGCUUGAUGACAAUUGUGCCUGAACAUUUUCUAUCACUCCUACCUCUUUCCUUCCAUGUAAUUUUUGCGACAAACAACUCUAAAGUUACAGUUGAAGAUGACAUUUUUCAGAGAGACCAAAAGCUAGCUGUCUCUUGUUAUGCUAAACAUCUUGUUUCCAGUUCUCCAUGGUUGGAUCCUAGCACAUAUCCUGGAUUAUAGAUCAAUGGUUGCAGGUCCCGUAUCCCAGUCAAAUCAUCUAUGCAUUUGUUUAAUAUUUUUCCACAAUGAUGAUCAAAGGGGAUAUGUUGUCUGCGUCCAUUACUCUUUCUUUACUAUUGUAAGGUGCAGCUAAAAGUAAUGAUGUACAAGCUUUUUCUAUGUUAUUGUAUACACAUAUCUAAGCCCAAUGUUUUGGCAGGAGAUGGUUGUUCACUUUCGAACGUUUUGCUUCUUUCUGGGAUCCGGGUUGAAUCUCAAAUUUUUACAAUUUACAACCUCAAAAUCGUUUAGCCGUAGGUGUGGCCUGUCAAAAUUCAAGUUUCAAGAUCAGUCUCUAUUUGAAUAACAUUCAGUAAAACCCUACAGGUUUAGUAAGAUAUCGUCAACCUAACGGAAUUCAGAGAUCCAUCUUCAGCCAUUAAUAUUCCAUCCAACUUACAAUGCAAUGAGCGUAUCAGAUAUUGCCAGAACAAGAAGUCUCCAUUCACUAAUUAGAUUAAGACAGGAUUUUAUCCCAAGUCUUAAUCGCAUCUGUUCAAUUUUUCUAUGCAAUCGCUUUCCUAGCUCAUGGCCCCCAUAAUUCGUGGUCCUCUAUGUCAGUUGUCAUCCUCUUGAUCACCUUUAUAUUUCAUUUUUCCUCUUCAAAUAAUAAUGUUUCGAGGUUUCAUGUCCAUGGAUGUCGACAUGCUCAAGCUCGAGGAAACUCCAAAAGGGAGGUAAAAGGAAAAUGAGGUUGUAAUGGAGAAAGGGAAUUUGGUGAAAAAAUAAUCACCAUAAAACACAAUGCAAAAUAAGAGUUACUAAAAGACGGCCAUUCACAACAUUCAAAAAUCCCACAAAAUAAUUCCAGUGAGUAAGAGCUCCUCUGUUUUCCUCUUUUGAGAGUUGAAGAUUGUCUUUAAGACAUCAUUGUACUCCUAUACAAAUGCUACAAAUAAAUUACAGUUAGAUGAAAAAUGUUUCAAAAGUAUAAUUUAAAAAAAAAAUUGAGAAAUUAGCAAGAGGUUCAACCAGAGCUGUCUACAAAUCAUCCAAAGAAAUCCUCUAACUCUGAUAACAAUGCACCUGAAAUCACAUUUAUGAAGGACACCACUAUUGGACAAAUCCAGGGAACAUCGUCACUUCAGAACCAGAGUGCUUUUAUUAGGCUUUUAGUCUGCUGUCCAGCUCUGCUCCACUAUUUCCCGCACUCUUCGGUUGUACUCUCUCUUAUUCUCACUGAACAGCCGAGCUGCUUCAGAGUUUGCAGGAGAGUUUGGAUUUGGAUCACAAAGCAGAGACUGAUAAAGACAUAAGUAGCAUCGGGUUAGCAUCAUCUUGUACAUCCACUGACAACCCCCCAAGCUCAUUUAUUUUAGGAUCAACCAUAACUCACAUGAAAUCUCAUGCAAAAACCAAAUUGUCAAGUGCAAACAUAGCAUAUUUGAAAGCUAUAUUAUUAACCAAUUAUUUUAAAGAACACAUUAUAACCAAACUAUAAAUGUUUGAAAUAUUGAUGAAGAAGCUGAUGCAAGAUUCCAUCAUGUUGUGAGUGAGUGAGUGAGUCAGGGGGGGGGAGGGGAAGAAAAGUCAGUCACAACCUGGUAACAAGGAUAAUUUCAGUUUGAAUAAGCAUGUAUUCUGAUUACCAGCUACCAUCAACAAAGAUCAAAAAGAUAAAAGAAAAUGCCAAAAUCAUAACAAAUACUCCACAAUGCCAUCAUUGUUAUGAGAAAGACAAAUUUGAAAACUUUUCAUUUGCAUUUUAAGUCAAAAGACAAAUUUGAAAACUUUCCAUUGCAUUUUAAGUCAAGUUAAAUAUGGUAAGUACAAUAUCAUGUCUUCUCCCACCAAAAACAAAAAAAAAAAAAAGACAAUAUCAUGUCUUCUCCCACCAAAAACAUAUGGUAAGUACAAUAUCAUGUCUUCUCCCACCAAAAACAAAAAAAAAAAAAAGAUUCCAGAUUAAGAGUGCCAACAGUAAUACUACCUGGGAUACUUGUCAUUGUACGAUUUUGACCCCAUGCACAUGAGUUUAGGAAUGAGCAUGAAAUUUUACAGGUUCGUCUAUGUACAGUAAAAAGUGCUCUAUAUCACAGUUUUAUGUUAGCUUUCGCGUGGAUUAAAAAUUAGAUAACUAGAAUUCCAGCCUUGUUUUGUCUAGUCCAUAGAAACACUUGAAAACAGCCGCAUGUUUGAUACUAAAUCUCAAAAAUCAGUUUGUUUACAGCAUUUUUCAGAUGAGACAACUGACUAUAGAUUCCUCAAAUUUCUUUAAUGGAAAAUACUUAAAAUCAUUCAUAUCAAUGCAUCAAACAGUAAUAUUUAUGUGUCGUAUUUCAGACCAUAAACUUAAACAUCAAAUAAUAAAGUGACCAGGUCAUAAAAUCACAGAUAAAAGAGAAGCAAGAUAUGUUGGGAAGAAAACAAAAGAGAAACACCGUGCAAUUAGUCUUUCUUAUGCACAUAAAAGAUACAAAGGAACACAGUAGGCAAACCAAAUAAUAUGAAGUCAUCAUUUGAUGAAACAGGGACUUUGGUCUAUGCAAACCAGCAGAUUUUCUAUUUCGAAGAUUGUCUUAAAACAUGGAAGAUUCACAUUUAUGUUCAGUUAAUAUAUGAAAACAUAUAUAAUGAUGCAAAAAAAAUGCCUUCACAGUGCAGGCUUGUUGACCUCAUAAGCACUUGGAAUUGCGUCAGGGUAAGACAAUCUGAAAAGCUUUUAGCCACUAAUAUCAUGGGUGUGAUUCAGUUGCCAAUUCAAACUAUCUCCACAUUUCAAUUAAGUAGAAGGACUUAUAAAAAGAAGAAAGGGGGAAACAGGAAACAUAACAAAAAUACGGAAAAGGGGGAAACAGGAAACAUUUAACAGGGGAAACCUUAAAAAAUGUGUUAGUCAUAUUGUCUAUUCUCUUUUCUUUUUCCCCCUUCAAAGCAAAAAAGCAAUUUUCUUUCAAUAACCAACAUUAAUUAUAAGAAAUUACGCAGGCAGAAAACAUCCAAUAUCAAUCAAUGAUUAACAAGAAAUAGAAUCCUUUUCCCACAAUCAAGAAAAAUGAAAGAAAAGUCAAACAAAUUUGCACCUGAAUAGAGGUCAGUAUAGCUGCAACAUCAUAUAUAGGACUCCACUGAUUUUGUAAAAUAUCCAAACAAAUACUUCCAUCUGCAUAGACUGAACAAACCAUAGGCACAAGUCAGAAAUCAGAGUCAAUCAUUACGAAGACCAUGUGCAAUAUAAUAACAAGCAACAUAUCAUUUAUCACCAAAAUUCAAAGAGAACAAUAACAAGAAAAAUAUAAUUAAUAAAUAAAUAGAAAAAUAAUUUACAAAUAACAUACUAUUUGGAUGAAACAUCCGUGAGACGAAACGAACUGUUGGGGGUUUAUUUGGAUAAUCCUCUGUGAAUUGUAGAGUCAACUUGAACGUACCUGAAGAAAUUCAAGAAAAUGCUUAGAUGACAAAUGCAAAAACCUAAAUAUUUCAACUGUAAAGACAAAGGAUAAGGCAUAAGCAAUCAUUUUUGUUAAGUAGGAGUAUUUAGGCCUCAAAUGCGACUGAAAGCAAGGAUAGCACGAUAUAGAAACAGAGGUAUAAUUAUUUACUAAAGCAGAUUGUCCACCAUCAUGCAGCAAUCGAUCUAAAGCCACUUCGGCAAUUAAAAUUCCAUCAAAAACACCAUUUACAUAAUUGGAACGUGAAAGCAUCGUUUACAAGAUAGCUCAUUCUGCUCAUAUUGACAGUCCUUCUGAUCAAAGAUGAUGACAAAAAAAAAAGAAAAAAAAAAGAAAAAAAAAAGAGGUGAUCGAAUUUUCUCAACAUCAAACCGGAAAAAAAAAAAAAAAAAACCACUAACACAAACAUGGACAAGGUAAUUAAAUUGUAACAAUAUAUACAAGUUAUGACCCACAACAGCAAAUACAACACAAGCCAAGAACCAUAGGAAUUCAACCAUGUUCUAUACACAGAAUCAGCUUAGUUACAGGCAAAAUAAAAAAGUCAGCUCAUCAAAGCUUUCGCUUAAUUAUACAUUAAAACUAAUGAACGAAACCUAACAAGCAAAAGCUGAGUGAAAAAUGAAAUCAAAAGCAUAAAAUUAUUUCUAUAAAGUAAAAAGACAAUAAAAUUCCCACCUCCGUCCCAGGGAGUAUCAUCGGGCCUGCAAAACACCACGAAAAAGGAAAAAAAAAUCAAAACAAAAACCAAAAGAAGUACAAAAAAGAAGAAAAGGAAGAAAAGAAAGUGUACCCAAAAAUAACGGCGUUCCACAACAUGAUGUUGUUGUCUUGAGGGGCACCGCUGAUGCCGGCGGGUGGAUCUUGCUGGAGGCGCUUGAAGUCCCGCAUCAGCCGCUUCUUCGCCGGUGUUGACAUGGCGACGUCGUGUUCUACAGAGAGAGAACGAGAGAGGAAAGUUCUAGAGAAAAGAGGGAUCUGAGCAAAAAUCUAAUCUAAAGAAGACUUUGUUGCUGCAUACGAGUUGCCAUGACAUAGCAAUAGGCCCAGGCAAUAGGCAUAACCUGUGCAACACCGCCAGCUAGUUUUGGUUUGUGAAUUGUGAUUGUGAUUUGUGAGUCCCACGCACACACUCUAGUCACAGCCGCCUUCUACUUUUUAUUUAUUACGCGUCGUGGGAUCUGAGCUGUUCAAACUUCAAAUUGUUUUAUGUCAUUUACCGCAAGGGCCACGUAAUUUUGUUAUGUAUUUCGAAAGAAAUUAACCGCCGCCACCACCACCAAAUUACUUUAUUUUUUAAGAAUCAUCCAUUUUACCAGUAAUUGUUUGUAAUGCUGAAAUAUCUUGCAUGGGAGUGGAGAGGAUAAAGUAUCUGAAACUCUUCAAUUUAAUUUAAUCCGAAUUGGGGUUCGCAUCCAGUUCGGAAACUUUUCUCACCCUUCACUGGCCCCAACGUUCAGAUUCUUAUGCUACUAAAUUUUAAUUCUAUAAUAUUAUCCCUCUCCUCUCGACGACCCAUAAAUAAAUACACACCUUAUUUUGAAAAUUUCUUUCCCAUAUUAACCCUCGAAUAAAUGCAGAAUUUUCUGGUCUUUCAUUUUGGCUUGACAUCAUCUAUAAUGGUCUGAUGGGGGCAGUUACAGUACAUGCAUGUAUCUCAUACAUGCAUGCAUAAAAAAUUAUCGUUAGAUUAAAUGGAGUAGAUCCAAUGGUUGAGAUUCAUCUUAGUGUUAAAUAAUAAAAAAAUUUACAAGAAAUGAAAACAUGUAAAACUGGCAACUUGAAACUUUGAACUAAUAAAUAUGAAACAACUACCAUUAAUAUUGAUAUUAUAACCAUUAAACUUGAAACCAAAAUAACUUGAAACUUUAGACAACGAAUAUGAAACUUGUGAUCAUAAACUUGCAAUCUCAAGAAUCAUACAAAUCAUGUACCAAUAAUAUAUGAAACAACUACGAUUAAUCUUGAUAUUAUGACCAUUAAACUUAAAAAUAAAGUAACUUGAAACAUAGGGUAAUGAACAUAAAACUUGAGAUCCUAAAAAUCAUACACAUCAUGAACCAAUAAAUAUAAAACAACUACCAUUAAUAUUGAUAUUAGGAUCAUUAAACUUGAAACUAAAGUAACUUGAAGCUGAGAGCAAUGAACAUGAAAUUUGGGAUCAUUAACUUACAACCCUGAAAAUCAUGCAAUUAAUAGACCAAUAAACAUGAAACACCUACCGUUAACUUGAUAUUGUGACCAUUAAACUUGAAACCACAAAGAAUUUGAAACUGAGGGCAAUACACAUGAAACUCAAGAUCAUAAACUUGCAACCCUGAAAAUCAUGUAAUUAAUGAGUCAAUAAACAUGAAACACUAUUAUUAACUUGAUAUUAGAACCAUUAAAUUUGAAACUAAAAAAACUUGAAACUGAGGGUAAUGAACAUUAAAUUAGGGAUCAUUAACUUGCAACACUGACAAUUAUACAAUUAAAUAGACCAAUAAAUAUGAAACAUCUAUUGUUAACUUGUUAUGGGAACCAUUAAACUUGAAAUCGAGGGUAAUAAAUAUAAAAUUUGAGAUCAUUAACAACCCUAAGAAUCAUAUAAUUAAUGAAUUAAUAAAUACAAAACACCUACCGUUAACAUGAUACCGAUAUUAUUAAACUUAAAACUAUUUUUUUAUUGUUAUCUGACCUAUAUUAGUAAAAUAAGUAUUAUUUUAUUUCAUAAUUUUUUAAUCGUUUAAGGAGCUCCAAGUUCUUUUUCUUUUUUUCCAACUGUUUGGCUGCCAAGUGGCAAUGUUUUUUAAUUUUUUUAUUCCUUGCAUGUAUGUAUGCAUGUAUUAAUUUAUUAUAGCACAGGCCUGAUUGCAAGCAAAAACACUUUAGGGUCCUACGCUCAUCCUGUUCGCUCAUAGCCUAGCAACAACCGAUUCGCGCCUCAAAACAUUUUCUAUCACUCUUCUCUUGCCCCGCCUACGUAAAUUUGGUGACAAUCAUCACCACAAGGUUAACAGUUGAAGAGGAGAGACAAAAAGCUAGCUGCCUAACUGCCAAUGCCUGUUAAGUUACGUCCUGCAUCCCAUCAAGUAUGGUCCUGUAGCCACCUCCUAACUUAAUUGCCUCCCUUCAUCCCUAUUUCAGAGAAUAUAAUUACAAGGUUUCACCUCCAGCAAUGCGGACAUUGUCAAGCUCAAGCAUAUUGAAAAACAUAGAUAAAAAAGAGGGAGGUUAUAAUACAUUCCAACAGUAAUGGAGAAAAAAGGGCUUCAACAGAAUAAGCAAUCACCAUAAAAAUACAAUGCAAGAUGGCCGUUCACAACAUCCAAAAAUCCGACUAAAUAAUUCCAAUGAAAAAGAGCUCCUCUGAGGUUGUCUUAAGACAUACAUCACUGAUUCACUGCAGCAAUAAUACCCCUAUACAAAUGCUACAGAUAAAUUACAGUUACAUGAAAGAUGUUGAAAAGAAGAAGAUGGAAAUGUUGAGAAAUUAACAAGAGGUUCAACCAGAGCUAUCUGGGAGGAAGAAUCUGAAGAGAUUCUCUAAUAACAAUGCACCUGAAAUCAGAUUGAUUACGGAGUACACGACUAUUGAACAAACCAGCCACACCAGCCCCAGUUUUCAUCUUUUAUUUCUACAGCAUAACCGGCCGGUGCUUUCAUUGGACUUUUAGUCGGCUGUCCAGCUUUGCUCCACUAUUUCACGCACUCUUCGGUUGUACUCUCGUUUAUUCUCACUAAACAGCCGAGCUGCUUCAGAAUUUGCAGGGGAGUUUGGAUUUGGAUCACAAAGCAGCGACUGGUAAAGACAUAUAAGUAGUGUCAUGUUAGAAUCAUAAAUACAACCACUGCGAAUCUCACAAGCUCAUUUGCUUCAAGAUCAACCAUCAUUUGUACUAAAUAUCAUUUGAAAACCAAGUUGGCAAGUGCAUACAUAACAUAUUUGAAAGCAAUUGACUAACCAAUUACACCAAAAAAAAUAAAGUUUUGAAAUAAUGGGGAAGAUAAUACAGGGGGCCAACAUAUGGUGACAGAAUCAAUGAAACCUGGUACUAAGGAACAUUUCAAUUUAAUGAAAACAUGUGUACUAACUAACAUCGACAUAGCAAAACAGGAUAAAAUAUCCUGAAAACCAAACAAUGCAAUCCUUGUCAUCACAAGGCAAAUAUGGAAAUGUUCCAAUGCAUUUUAGUAAGUAUUAGAUAUGGUACGUACAACAACACUUUUUUGAAAAUUGGAUAUUGAUGAUCGUCUCAAACAUGGAAGAUUCACUUUUUAACUUUGUUUAAUAUAACAAAAAAAUAUACAUAAUGAUGCAAAAAGGCCUUCACGGUACAGAAAUGUAAGCCGACAGAUGCUUUCGGACGUCAUGAGCACUAAGAUCUUAUUAGGUUCAGAUACUCUUAGAUAUAUUUAGCCAAUAAUAUCAUAUGUUUGACUUAGUUGAGUAUACCAUUCAAACUAUCUCCUCAUUUCCUUAAAAUGGGAGGAAUUACAUAUACACGAAACAAAAGGACAAAACAAGUUACCAGUCAUAUCAUUAGUAUCUUCUUUCUUUGAUGCAAAAGCACAAUUUUCUUGCAAGUUCUCGAUAAUCAGGCAUUAAUUAUAAGAAAUUAAGCACAGUGAAAACAUCCAAUUUCAAUCAAUGAUAAACAAGAAACAGAAUCUCUUUCCAAUAGACAGGAAUGAACAAGAAAAGUCAAAACGAAGUUUCACCUGGAUGGAGGUCAGUAUAGCUGCAACAUCAUAUAUAGGACUCCACUGAUUUUGUAAUAUAUCCAGGCAGAUACUUCCAUCCGCAUAGACUGAUCAAACCAUAGGUAAAGAGUCAGAAAUCAAAAUCAAUCGUUAUCAAGACCAUGAGCCAUAGAAUCCCUAUAGCACAAUAAUCAGCAAAAUUCAAAGAAAGAAUAAUAGCAAGAAACUUAUCAUCAAUAAAACAUUAGCAACAAAAUUUAAAAAUAAGAUAAUGACGUACUAUUUGGAUGAAACAUCCGUGAAACGAACCGAACUGUUGGAGGUUUAUUCGGAUAAUCCUCUGUAAACUGAAGAGUCAACUUGAACGUACCUAGAAAAGUUCAAGAAAUAGCUAAAACAACACUUGCAAAAACCUAUAACUUUCAAGAAAAAGAGACGCUAUAACGAAAUAUGAUAAGUCAUAGGCAAUCAUGUUACUUAAUGGUGGUUCAGGUUUAGUGGGAGUCUUUAUUUUAAGCCUACAAUGUAAAUCAAAGCAAGUAUACCAUAACAUACAACCUAACAUAUAAUUAAUUACAGAAGCAGAUUGUCCACGAUUAGGUAACAAAAAUUCAACAAAAAUAAGCUACAAUCAAAUAUUAGGCAAAACCAAUAAUUCAGCUUAACAAAAGUUUUACAUUUUUACAGCUGAAUGAAAGUAAAAUUAAAAGCAUAAAUAUUUUGUAAAAAUCAAAGAUAAUCAAAUACCCACCUCCGUCCCAGGGAGUAUCAUCAGGCCUACGAAACAUCACCAAAUGAAAAACAAACAAGAAAAUCAAAACAUAAACCAGAAAAGUUACAAGACAAAAACAAAGGUUAAUUAAAACAAAUACCCAAAAAUAACGGCGUUCCAUAACAUGAUGUUGUUGUCUUGAGGGGCCCCGCUGAUUCCGGCGGGUGGAUCUUGCUGGAGGCGCUUGAAGUCCCGCAUCAGCCGCUUCUUCGCCGGUGUUGACAUAGUGGCGUUUUAGAGAGCAAAACUGAGAAGCGGCUUUUGCAGAGGGGGGGAGGGGGGAGAAUGAGAGAAGAAGCUUCUAGAGAAAGAAGAGAUCUGGGCAAAACCUUGUGAGGAUGCUGCAUGCGAGUUAACAUGACAAUAAUGGGCCGGGGCCGGGGUUGGCUGAGCAGUGAGCACCAAUUUUUCUUUUUUUAAUUUUAAUGUUUAACGAUAAAGUUACAAAUUUUUCCACGCAUUUUUAUUUUAUUUUAUAUUGAUAUUAAUUCAAUUCGUUUUAGUCAGUGGGCUGAGGAAAAAUAUACAUAUGGUCCCCACGCCACACACAAGUAGGACACCUAUGUAUUUAUCGAAAUUGACCUUGGCCAAAACUCCUUUCCAAAAUCGUCUUGCAUCCUUCACAUGUUCUCUCAUUGGAAAGCAUGUAGUGCAGCAAUAUGUCAAACACCAGUACACCACCCGCAAAAUUCUACAGAGAGUAUGAGUAUAUUGAGGAAUUUGAUAUUAUGGAUGCAUUUUUGUCCAUAUUUGCAAAUUCCUCAUUUUCUCAAAUGCUUAGCUCAGCACUCCUGUCAUUUAAUGAAAACCAUCAGGGACGAUAAUGAUAUUCGCAAACCCGUAAAUCCAUUCACACCAGUCCGUUGCGGGUUGUGAGCGGGUUUGAUAUUAGGAAUUGAAAUUCGCACUAUGUUGUAGGUGGAUUUAGUAUUAGGUACAUAUCCGAUGGAUACUCACAUGAAUAUCUGCCAAAUCUAUAAUUUUUUUAAUACAAUUUUAAUUAAAAAAAUAAUUAAAUCUAAAAGUAUAUAAAUAAAAUAAAUAUAGAGUGCAAACAUGUCAUGUGUGGUGUGUGCAAGUUGCAACUCAUAACCUAACCUAAAGGAAACCUAACUUAAAGGAAACCCAAACUAUUUCUUUUUCAUCUGUGAGCAGCAGUCGCAAAAUCUAACCUUCUAAACUAUUUCUCUUUCACCCAUGGGCAGUAGCCGCACACCCAUUUUCCUUUCACCCGUGAGCCGCAGCCGCACACCCAUGAAAUUUUCAUGGCAUUUGUGGUUAUUUUUUAUGGAUUUAUAUAUUUCAUACUUAAAAUCGAGAAUUUGUAUAGAAUUGAUGUUGAAAUUUUAAUUUUAUAUUUACAUUGAUUAAAUUUAAAAUUCAGUAUAUUAUGUGGAAUUUUAGCUUAAUAAUAUAAAUUUACAUAUUGAUUUUUAUUAAUAUAACCUUUCGACAGUCAAAUCAGUCACCAGACUUUUGGAAAUAUAAAUUUAGAAGGAGAAAGAUUAGAGAGAGAAAGUUAGACUUUUUACUUUUUGAGUCUAUUUUUUUUCUUACAUUUUAGUGAGAAUGAAAGACAUAUUUGUCGACCAAACGGAUUUGACUUAAGUCUUAGCUAUUUUGAUGACAAAUGUCAUUGCUCUUGUGACAUUUGACAACACUUAUUUUUUAGUACGCAUGUUGAUUGACAUAUGGAUAUACAAACUUAUCUAUAGAUUAAAGGAAAAAAACGUUUUAUCUUUAGGUUAUUUUUACUAAGACCUUGAGAUUAUAGGAGCCUUUAAAUUUAAGAGGUUUGUCCUACGAUAAGAGCCUAGAACCUCAACAUCUUUUGGGCUUUGAAGUCUUAUUACUUAGGAGAAUCAUUCUAGGUGAUUUGUCCACCACUUCGUGGGCUUAAUUGAGAGAAAAUUUAUUAAAUGGGCCUUAUUGAGAUUAAAUUUCUUUGGGCUUUAUUAAAUCUAUUUUAUUUUUGAUCCAACACCAACUUGGAUUUAAGAUUCAACACUGCCUCCUUUAGUUGGAAAGAGUUCAACUUCCCUUCUUAGUUUGUAUAAAAUGUAAAUUUCUUCAUAAUUUAUUAUAUCUAAAUUCUUCACCUUUUGGGGUCAAUUUAGCUACGCUAAUCAGAGUUGACCCCGAUAAAUUUGUAAUCUUUUUUGUUUCAUUGUAUGUUGUUGUGUGUUUAGUCCUCUAUCUAAUACAUCCGUAUCACAAUUGCUUGUACGCUAAUUUCCUACUGUGUAAUUUUUUUAUGUUAUUUCGUUAAUUUCCUCCAACAUGACUCGGGGACAGGCUGCUGCGAGUGGGACUGUGAGGUCUUGCAAUCCAAUUAAUUGGGCAUAGUGAUGGACCAGGACUGUAUAUAAAAGAACUGCUUAAAGAUCGUACAAUCUAGCAUCGGCAAGGCCAGUGCUUUCUAUGUAUUUGAUUACUAUGACUCCAUAAAAAGUAUAUAACAUGUACUGUAAAAUCACUUAAACUGUUAAUUAUUAAGAGAAAACUAAAGAAAAAUCAAGAAACCCUGAACAUAAAACGGAAGUUAAUUUGUUCUCCUGUGAUUGUGAAGUAUCUGAUGAUGAUCAUUAGUAAACAUGAUUGGAAUCUGACUCUCUUCUUCAUCAUCUUCGUCGUCGUGGGCAGGCCUUGAAAGUUCAUGAAGAGGCUCCAUGCUGUGGCAAGAUAGCACUGUCUCAGCUGCAAAGUCGAAGUUGGAAGUAAGGUUGCUCAUGUUGAUGAAGUUUGUGGAGGCCGAGGAGCUGUUUGAGUAAGCAGGCUGCUGUUGCUGUUGAUGCAGUAAUGCAACAUGUUGCGGCUGUUGCGGUUGCUGUGAUGUUUGGAGAGCGUUUGCCAUCGCAAACCUGCUGUUUAAAAGUUGAUUUUGCACCAUUGUUAGCUCUGCUUGCAGGGAGGCCACCUGCAAUUUAAUAUUUAUAAUAUCAAUUGCUUUUCUUAUUGCAGUUUUUGGUUCAAUGGGGGCUAGAAGAAUAAAUUACAGACUUUAAAGGGCUAAAAUAAAAUAAAAGAAAAUCUGUAAUGCUAAAAUGUAAAAUGUUCAAAGUAAUUGAUCAAAUUUCAAUUAACGCCCUUAUUUUUACCAGAAUUUUGUCACCUUUUAUGUGACAUUUCUCAUGAAGCGGUACGCGCAAGAAUUGGUAGUUAAUCUACUCUUAUAUAAAUAAAAUAAUAGUAAUAAUUAAUUAAUUUUUGUAACUGAAACGAGCAUUUGGCUUAGAAACAAAAUUAAUUACUAUCGGCAAAUUAAAACCUGUUGCUGCAGAGCAAGAAUGGUGGAAACACAACCGUAAACCGGGUCGGAGAGGCGGGCCUGGGCCUCGUAAGAUAUAGUAACCACAGCAUCUUGCCGCCGGUUCACCGGAAUGUGUAGCAAGAGCUUGGAUACAUUGCUAGCACCAAAGACUUUGUGCACGGCAGCGAACCGGGCGGCUCCCUGGUCUGAGCCAAAGUGGGGUGCAAAGAUGCACCCACUAACGCACUUUCUCCUCAAGAACUUGCAUGCCCCACAUGGAGCUGCUGGUGCAGGUGCUGACAUGGGCUCGGCCUCUGGCGAGGGCGCGGUGGUGGCACGUUUUCCAGCGCCCCUUCGACGGGGUUCGGAUAUGGGGUCGGGCUGUUGCUCAGCCAUUUUCUGGGGUGGGUUAGGCUCAGAGUUUGUUCAAAACGGAAAGGUGGUGGAGUUGUUACUUAUAUGUGAGAAAUUAUGACGCUGGGCACGUUAGUUUCGUGAUGGGUAGCAUGGUGAAUGUGGUAAGCUUCUUUAUCUUUUUCGUUUUUGUUUUAAAAAAAAAGAAUAUGUAUGACCAUUGCAACCCAUUUUUGUAAAUUCCAUAUAAAUGUGGAUAUACACACACACACGAAUAAUGUAAUGACCAAUAUUGCUAAUGUUAUAAUCUAUAACAUCAUCGUGUGAUGUUAAGUUGAUAAAUACUUUGUGUGAUGGUGUCAUGUAUGUUGAUAAUGCUCUAUAAGGUGAGCAAUCGUAUCAUGCCAGUGUAAUUAAAUUGAGGUAUAGGCUAAUACUAUCAUACCAUCGAUAUUUAACAGUAAUUUUGUAUGGUAUAAACUACAUAAAUGGCUAUUUAUGAAUAAAUCAAAGAACUUAUAUAUCUUCGUAUUGACGAGAUUAAAUCUUUGUGCUAUUGUCCAUGAUAUAUAUUAAUUAAUUAUAGUUUGUUUUUAUAUAUAUUUUUUUUCCUCUACAAAACGUGUAUCUAGCUAAUUAUCUUUAAAAUGUAAUUAUGAUAUCAGAAACAAGAGAGGGACAUUAUGGUUGGUGAGGGAGGGAGAGAUGGAAAUGGGAAGAGCCUGAGAGUGUGAUGGGCACGGGCAAAGGAGGUGUCGGUGGGUGGGUUAUGGGUUUAAUUAAUUAAUUAAUUACAGGUUUAAGAUGAGAAAAUUUGAAAAAUAAAAUAAUGAUGUUAAUAUUUAAGGUUAUUAGUUUGGAACAUGAAUCAUGAUACAUGAAGAAGGCUGGGUUGUCUUGAUGAGAAGGCACAAUAUUUGUGCUGCCCGUGGCGUGUGGGAUGCUUCACCUCCAACUCCAAGCUUGCUAAUGCUAACAGUAACAGAAGUUCCAGACACUUCCAGUAAUGCAUUUUGCACUCACCCUUUUUAACUUUCACUCCUCCUCGACAUCCCUACGCAACUUCACUACACAUCAUUUUUAAUUUGCAACAUUGCAUUCCAAAAUUGGGUCUCAAAGAUUAAGAAAAAUAUAUACUGGUCCAAGAAGACACAAGAUAAUUCUUCUCGUUAAACAUAUAGAGUAGGGUGAACUUGGGGUAAAUCUUGCAAUAGAUAGAUUCAAGUAUUCUCUGAAGGCAAGAUUCCAAAACAAGAAGUGCUGCCACAGUAACAUGGUAGGCCCUUUGGCCUGGCCCUAAUUUCCCCGUAGCUAAAAGCAAGCUCUUCACCUUCUUUUAUGUCUUUUGAAGCCAAGAAGCAGAGGCGAGGAAGUAUAGAUCCUGAGCUUCUCACCAGUGUUGUUGACAGGUCACCACCAUCGCAAGAAUGAUUAAUAAAUCGGGCAAUGUUUCCAAUUAUUGUGGCAUCAAUGUUCAUCCUCAAACAAGCCUUUCCAGAUGGAAGGUGCUCCCUUAUGACCAAAAGAGCAGAGGAAUUUCCGGGACUCGAUGCAAGUCCAUCAUAGAUUUGUUGCCGCCGCCUUGCUUCUUUUGUGGUCAAAAGUUCACCUAUUCAAGCAAACAUCAACUAAGACAAUUUCUAACAAAUGUCCACAGAAACAAACAAUAAUUAUUUCUUAAAUAUCCAAGUAAAUGAAAAUGUUUUACACACUAGACCAAUUCAAAGCAAUCAGUUAUUACCAUAAUGUUUCAUAAACCCCGUGAUGUGGGAAGAAUGGAAAGAAAGAUCAAAAACAUCACCCAAAGUGCCCAACAAUGGCUAGUUGAAUGGAGAAAAUACAAUAGAGAGUCAAAGCUAUAACUCAGGAAAAGUAAGCAGCUAUAUAAUGGUAGUCAUAAGAACUGGAAGAUAUGGCUAACGGCAAGCUAAACAGCCCUAUGGUAGAUGCAAAACAUAGUGGUUAUAGACUCUAUUCUACCACGUAGCAGAUGUAAAAUAUAAGCUGUAUUAGACGAACAAAAUUUGCCUACCAAUUAGGCAAAAUUAAUCCAAAUAAUAAGGGAUAAAAACUAUAAGAUUUGAAACAUGGGAUUCGAUAAUACUGCCAUUGAACUAGAAUUGUACGAACUGAAGGUGGUCUUCUUCUUGGUCAAAAUAAAUAAACAAAUGUAAUUCCUUCAUCCGCACAAUCCCAUUCUAAAACUAUGAACUUAUGAUUCCAUACUACCGUAACACAGCAGAAAUAUAAUUCCAACAACGGCACGCGCUAAAUCUAAUAAUAAGUCUUACUGUAUCAAAUAAUCAUCAAGCAGAUGCAACUAGGCAUAUGUAUAAUUAAAAUCACAAGCAUCAAAAACUCUAAACAAAUAUUACAAAAAUGCCAACAUACAUUUCCAUUUUGCCGAUACCUGCGUACUCACAGAUGAAUUGCCCUUGCUUUAUGAAUUGAUCGGCAUAUAAACCCCACCCUUUAUUCACACUCCUCACAAUCUUCAAUCUCACCGAUAUUCCUCUCUGAGUCAACCGAUUCCCGCACUCAGACCCGCACCCGCAACUCGGUCCGCACUCACUCACUAUGCCCACAUCCUCCAGACCCGAAAAACACGGACACCCAAAUACCCCAUCACCAAGUCCCACCUCAAAACACUCUUCACAGUCGCACCCAGAUUCACUUUCGUCUGACUCGCAGACAAGACUCACUGAGUCAAACCCGAGUGGACUCAGAGAAGAGUUUGAUUCAGCAUCAGCAGCAGCAUUGGUGGAGGCCCAAAAUUGGCGUGGUGGGAAUUGGGCAGGACAAGGAGGAGGGAUUAUCUGUGAUGGGGUGUAAAUGAAGUAGGCGUAGGGGGUUUUGUCGACGGCAUUGUGAAAUGGGAUCGGGAAAUUCUCGACGGACCUGGAGGCAUCGAGAGAGCGGGAGAGAGUGAUGGAUUUGGAGAUUUGGGAAAAGGUUCUGCAUGUAAGAGAUACGUUGGCGAGCUCCCCUGGGGUUAGCCAUGGGAGUAUUAAGCGAGCCCACUGAAGGAAUUGAUUCUGCUUUUGUUCUUCAUCUACCUCGAUGGUUCGUUUGUGACAGUUUAUCAGCUCCGUCGGUGCAUUGCUGAAUGCCAUCGAGUUUUCAAUGCUGUGUCGUCUGGAACUCGCAUAGUCGCAUCUCGUUUGUUGUGGUUUUUAAGUUUUAGCAUGAACAAAAUGUACACACGGAAAAUACGAUGUCGUUUCGACCACUUGCUCUAAAAGUCUUAAUUGUUAUCAUUAUUAAGCAGAAGCGAAACAAUUACAUGGGGGUUUCGUAGGGGUGUUCAAAAUCUAAUUCGAUCCGCUCAAUUCAUCCAAUUCGCUGAAUUUGAUCCGUAUAAAUUCGAUUCGUGGAUUGAAUAUGGAUUGAAAAUUUAAAAAUUCGUAGUCAAUGGAUUGGAUAUAGAUUUACUUCUGUAAAUCUGCAGAAAUCGGUGAAUCCAUAAAAAAAAAAAAAUUUAGCCAAGGCGGAUGUACGGUACAGCAGACUUUGGAUUAAUUUCUGAAAUUACAUUUGCAACAAAAUUAUUAUAUUACUCUUUACAUUUCAUGUGGCAAAAAAAGUUCAAAGACACCAAAAAAAAACACCUUACUACGUAUAUAUACACAUCUCAACACACACUAGCAACAUUCAAUACUGGUUGGAUACACUCUCGACACGGAUUUGAAGGACAUCAGCCGCGCGAUUCCGGCGAGAGCAAGCCAUCUUCUUUCCCAAGUCCAUCAAGCCACUUCACAUUCAUUGGUUCCAGCUGAACAAUUUCACUAUCACAACCUUCAAGAUCGCCACCCGUACGGCUUCUCCUGGUUCCUAUUGUAGAUGGUUCCGUAAUCACCACUUUUCGACAGGCGCAACAGCCCUGGUGAAGGAUCAGACUGUGUUUGGUUUCCAAAACUUCGUCAUUUCAAUUAAUUGUGGCUUUAUUUGAACAAUUAAUUUCGGUGUUAUAUUAACGUAUUAUUGUAACUUUAUUUGAACAAUUAAGCUUGGUGUGUUAUAUUUUGAAACUUUGAACGUAUUAUUGUAGCUUUAUUUGAAUAAUUAGUCUCGAUGUGUUAUAUUUUGAAACUUUAAAUGUAUUAUUUUAGCUUUAUUUAAACAAUUAAUUUAUUUAAAUUUUAUUCAAUUUUAAAUUUAAUUGGUAGCAAAAUUAUUUUAAUAUUAGAUUUUUUUAUUUCAUCAGUUGGAGAGAACUAAAAAUUUUUAAUUCGAAAACUAAUGGGCAAAAUGGUGGAUUGCAUAUGGAUUGAGUCAAAUCCGCAUCCGAUCCACAGACGUAUGGAUUGGAUAUGGAUUAAAUCAAAUCCGCAUCCGAUCCGCAGAUGUAUGGAUUGGAUUUAAAUUGAAUUUUAUCAAUCCGUGGAUUGGAUUGGAUUGAAAAAUUAUAAUCCGCAAAAUCAUGGAUCAGAUAUGGAUUGAUGUCCAAUCUAUAAAAUCCGAUCCGUGAACACCCCUAGGGUUUCGUGACAUAAAAUGUGGCAAAAGAGAGAUAUGUGAGACUGCUUUUAUAAUUAAUUUUUUGGUGACUUUUACAACCAAAGCAUCCCUGGAAGGCUGGAAGUGAAAAAAAUAGUGAGUUAAUUACAAGAUUGUAUACAGGUUGAAAAUGACUAUUUCUCUAAUGGCUCAAUUUUAUCAUUUUGGUUUGAAGGCAAAAAUUGGCUAUACUCUCGUGUAUUAACACUUCAAAAUGUGGUUACAAGACCUAUGCCUAGCUCUUCUGCAAGCUCAUCCCAUACUGGAAGGAGUGUGAACAGAACAAGGAAUAUGGCCACUGUAACAAUGGCUUUCCUCCACGUUCCCACCUCAGUCACAUCGUUUAGGCAUGGUUUUUCUGGAGUUCUCUGAAAAACAUAUAGUUGAAGCCGAAAUCAGAAAAGGAUUUGAAAGCAUGAAAAACAUAUAAUUCACCCUUAUUUAAUUUUGCCUAUCUGGGUACCUGGCAUAUUAUCACAUAUAGUCCCCAAGGAAGGGAUAAAGGCCCACCAAGCUGGAAGCAGAAAAAAAAAAAUUAGUUGAGAAUAUAAAUCACCUGUUCAAUGAUUUAAAAAACAAACUUAUCUGAAACGUUAAAGAUGCUAUAUCGAAUCAAAGUAAAUCAAAUAAAAUAGAAUGGAUGCAGCAUUGUAUUAUGUGCCAUCAGCACUAGAAUGACCAAACAAAGAAGCAUACCACUCCCAAUCCAAGCAUUGUGUAAGUUGUCAAGCCAAAACCAAUCAGUGCAUUUCUUCCAAAAGCACCCUAUAAGCACAUGCCAUCAGUUUGUGCUAAGGGAUUGAGAUUGUUUCCAGUCCAAAACUAUACCCCUUGAUUUAACAAAAUGGAUAUCCCAGUUCAAAUAGAAGAUAAAAAGGCUACCUGUACAGCUCUUCCACCAUCAAGGCACCCCACUGGAAGCAUAUUAAAAGCUGUUGUGGUCAAGCCACACCUGCAAUAGUAAAUUUUAUGCAUCAGCAUACCUCAUAAUGUUACAAGUAGAAUAAGAGAUUCAAGAAAUUGUGGGCUACCAGCCAGCAAUCACCAAAGGAUGAAUUGUAACUGUUGAAGCAUGCAUUGCUCUGCAAGUUAAUAAGAGCAACGUGUCAAUAAAAAUUUCCAUGAUGCAAGCAAGAAUUAUUAAGUUCAGAUUAGUCAUCUGCUAGAGUAAUCGAAAUAGGAAACAUAGCAGUGGCACCAGUGAAUUCAUAGUUUGCCAACUAAUACAGUUUUUUUUUUUUUUUAAACUAAGUCCAUGGAAGCAGAGAAGGGCUCACGUGUAACCAAGAGUGGCUCUGCUGAUGAGACCAAGAAGCAAUGAACCUUGAAACAAUGUGCUGGGAACCUGCACCAAAUCUCCAGCAGCAUCUGGAUUUGAUGAGAGCAAUAGGCCAACAACAAACAUUGAGAAAGAUAAAGCAGCACCAGCAAUAGGACCCGCGAGUGAAAUGUCGACUUUUGUACUCCGAUCUGGAAGAAUGGAUUUAAACUACAAAAAGAAAUAUGUUUUAGUCAUUCAACUUAGAUGAUUGAUUCUAAGAUGCAUUAGACUUGACAACAGAUAACUUGCAGAGUUGCAGUUAUUUUCCAGAGUUCUUUAUCUAUUGAAGAUCAAAAUCUGAGAACAAGAACACCUGAUAGGAACAAUGCAUUCAGACUUGAAAGUAAAAAUAGGCAUACGAUUUUUCCAACUUGUUUCAAAGUCUACAGACUAGAGUCACUGUCAGAUAGGUUUACCUGAGUGAUUGCACCAAAGCUGCCAAGAGUAAUGUUUGGAAUGAAAAAGGGAAUGCUUAGUUUUACUUUCUUCGGGAAAGCAGCUAAAAAGUGACCAACUUCCUGCAAACAUUCAUCCCACAUUUAGCAAGACAAACCACAGCAUCAGAAUUUAAUUAAUACAUAUAUGACCAACAUUUGAUCAUGUCACAUGGAGGAAAAACACUAACCAAGAAAUAGUUAGAAACAAAAUUAGACAAUGCAUAAUAAAAAUUCUGAUUACUGUUAUAUUCCAAUCACUAAUAUACAUGCUGUGUGAUUCUCUGACUGAAAAUCCUGAGCGUUGAAAAACACCAACAUUAAUAGUACAGUAAUCAAUGAACAAUAUCCAUGCAUCUGCCAGAGGUUCGGAAGUGUUCAAUACAGUGUCAAAAAUGGCAGUCAAACUAUCCAUACACAUGAAAAUGAAUUACCAAAACCAAUUUAUGCACACAAUCACCAUAAGAUAUUAAACUUCACUCCCCACUAUGAGGUUUUCACAUCAUAUAUAAAAUGCUUUAACAAGUUGACCAAGAUAAAGAAUGUCAAACCAAACGUGGUAGCAUUAGCACAAUCCCUGUGAUUUAUUUGAAGGAAGUUUGACUUCAUGACAAAGAAUGCUGAAUUCAAACUAUAAAUUAGGAUGCUAAGCAAUUAACUAUACCAGAAAUUUUGGUACUUUAAAAAACAAAUAGUUGAUUGUCUACCUCAAAAAAUUGUCAUGUUGUAGUAUCACAUAGAGCAGUUUCAGGUCCCAUCUGCUUAACUAUCACCCUAAACAUUGGCACCACUGAACAAACUAGAACUAACAGAAGUAGACUACAACGAGACGGACAUAUCAGAAAUUUGAGCACUUCAUAAAAACAUAUAAAAAUAGAGUGCAGAAAGUAGAUAAAUUUCUGCAUAUAACACAGCCCAAUAUAAUGUGGUAGGCAACCAAAAUGUCCCAUGUGCUUAUCUAGCCAAAACCAAAACAAAUGAAAUGUUGCUUACAUGAAAUACCAGAACGCCCAAGACACCAUAUGCUAGGGGCAAAGCAGACUCUACAAAAGGGUACAGCAGCUCCACAUCGGGGGGGUCAAUGGCAUUUGGAUCUGUGAAGUAUUUUACUAUCUCAGGAGGCAGUCUAUUUAUCUGUUUAAUUAACAGUAUGCAAUCAAUAUUACAAAUUUUCAAAUAAAAAAAAAAGUACAGAUUGACAAACAGUAGAUGAUGUCAACAAAUAUAAAGGAAAUGGGAAUGAAUAGAAAUAUCGACAGCUGCCAUGGGUCUGCCAAAGUGUAUUUGCAAUUAGCUAACCUGAGAUGCAAUUCCUAACUCAACAGAGGAGCCAAUGGUCAAAAGGAAUAACAAAAAAGCAAUCACAUAUUGCCAGAGUGUUGUUGGCCCCGGUUCAGAGACCUCUUUUCGCAGCAGACCAAAGCUAACACGUGGUCCACCACGGGGAUCUGGUCCUUCGGAAUUGGGUUCCUCAACCAUGAAAAAAUUGUAUUUAUCACCUGUGAUCUCAACUAACCGACUCUGAAGUUUGGCAUAUACAUCUUCUCUCUUUCCCCUUAGAUUUCCAAGAAAAAGAAUGCCCUCUCCCAAAUCUCCAAAGGGCUCUUCUUUGGUCACCCAAAAUGUUGAAUAGCCAAAUAGAUUUUCCUUAAUUAGCUUUACAUCAGCAGGGUCAACUUUUUCGGGUCCAAGAAGCUCCAUCAGUUUGAAAGAGUCAAUUUGAAAAUUAUUAUGGGCUGAUCCAACCGGAGAUAUAGUUGGCGGCUGAAAACAGGCGAAAAACAUCAGAACAAGAAUAGUUAUCUCAGGAUAUUACAUAACACAAAAACACAUUCAUAUCCUUUUCAGUCUUAUACUCUCCCAGACUCUAUCUUUAUACAUGUCAUUAGUAUACGUGUGUCUAGUUUUAUAUGUGAAAGAAGUGAACCAGCAUGACUCAUUGGUGGAAAGGGAUGUUGAAUAACACGACUACCAACCAGAAAUCAAGUACUUGGAUAAGGCAGGUUUUAGCAGAAGGCAACUAAAUUUUCAUUAAAAUUCUAAGGCAGAAAUGCUGGAGUUUGACAGAAAAUAUGUCGCUUGAACUGUAUAUUGUUUGCGAAUAAAUCAAGUUAAAAAACCAUGCAUUACCUUAUCUUGCAUCUGACUAGUUGUUAACAUUUUCUAUAUGCAGAGCUUGAUAUAAAAUAGAAUUGAAACUCUAUGGACUUAGAAAAACCUUGACCAUACAACAACUUUGUGCAGACUUGGUCUAGAGCAUCUUCAUUGAUUACUUAUUGCCAAUUCAUUAUAUAGCAACCAAAUCAAAGAUUUUUGCUUGAGAGCUCCAUUUCCAACUUGAAGACUCCAAUUCCGUAUAACCAAAGUAAUCACAAAGAUAUUGUAAAAAACUCACAAUGAUCAUUCUUGAUUGAGAUAUCCCUCUUUUACAUAGCAAUCACACAUCUCGUGCUUGAGCAAAUUACCGACCACUUAAAUAAGAAUUACAUGGUUUCAUGCAAGACCUUUAUACAAGAAUACCCAAUUCAUCAACCAUUUAUGCCAAGCAUAUGCAUAAAGCAUGUGAAGGGAUCACUCAUAACUUCCACAUUUUCAAUCUACAAAUUGCUUCCCAAGUUAUGAAAUAUUAUUAUAACAUCAUUCAAGUAGCAAAACUUUGAAAUGAAUGCGUAGAGACGCUGUUUGUUAUUGAGAUAUUGAGAUUGUGUAGCUGUAACUUUUAAACUACAGAACUAAAGUGUGCUUUAUAAAUUAAGUUGAUUUAAUCAAUUACUUUUAUAAUGAAAAAUCUAUAAUCUGUUCAUUAUUUUUAGCAUAAUAAUUAAUUAAAAAUCAUGUUAACUUUUAUACUACUAACUUUUAUUUUAUAAUCACGGCAGCUACUGCUUAAAAACUACUGCACCUAAAUAGCAAACAGGGCCAGAAGUACCCAGAAGAAAAUGAAAAGGAGAAAAAUGUAC
rnacentral:lncRNA from 1 species